UUUUCUCCAACAAUCCCCCACAAAAUUCAAAAUCACAAAAAAAUUAAACAAACAAGUAAAUAAAUCAUCGGGUGUUUAUACUAUGCAAUAGGCGAGGCGUCUUUAAGAGACUUAACCCUACUUAGUGUAAAUAAUUUUCAUCAGAAGGAAUCGGAGUGAACCAGGUCUUGAACUACGUUCCUUUGGCCCUGACUUCAACUAUCACACACACAGUACAGAAUUCUCUGUCGCGGGUCUGUGCGUUAAUGGCCAUGCACAGUAUCUUGAUUUUUCAUAAGAGCUUCUAUGGACAGCCCAUUCACAUAGCCGCGGUCACAAACGGAUACUCUUAUAUAGCUGGUUUCCUCCAGGGAUGUGUGUAGAGUCACAUCUCGCGAAAAUUACGCCUUGGAUCCCAUUAAGAGCUCUAAGCUCAACCUAAUCCACUACACAGAGCACUACUCACCAUAGGGAUGGGAUUAGAGCUAAAGCUCCUCUAUAAAAUUUGUAGAAAGUGCUCUUUGGCCAACCUGACAGCUUGUUUUUACCACAUUGAAUCUUCUUCAAGGGAUCUCCUAUCACAAAGGUUGGGUUCCCACUGCAGGAAGGCCCUUUACCGGCAAAGUCCCAUCCCCCUCGAUGAUUUUAGGACCUUAGUCAUAUUCAGGCCGUUCGAUAAAUAAUCUGCAAAAUUCUAAUCAGAUCUGAUAAAACUCAAAGAAACAAAUGAUCAGAAGUUAGCCAUCUAAUAAACUUUUGUCUCAACUUAAUAUGUUUGUCAACUUUAGAAUUUAACAAUUUCAUUUACAAGCUAAACAUUAAGAUAAAAGAAAUGAAAUCACGAGAGCAAUUAUAAUAUCAAAAUUUAUCAAACUGAUAAAAUAGCUGCCCCCAUAAAAUCUGAGGUACACCAAACUUUAACGGUCAAAACAUUAACAAUGUUUAAUUAAGUUUGGUUAAAUAGCAAGUUAAUGGACCAAACAUAUUUGAUUUUAACUAAUUACUUUUAAGUAAAUAAGAAUGAUAGAAUCACAAUAUACUGCAAUCAACAAUAAAAUUUUGAAUUAAGAAAUGAAGCAAGCAUGAAUAUUUGAUUCUGCAGGUAAGAGGUUNUGAAAAUGCUAAUCCCAAUUAAUUUAACUUUGUACUUCAAUCAUACAAACAAGUUAUCAAACAAAUUAUAUACAAUAUACAAAUAUAAAUAUAUUUUUGGAUUAGCACUCGUUAGAUUUAAUCGCAAUCAAAUUGGAGAUACGCCUUAGAUUGUUAGGGAAAAACCGCAACGAAUAUCUGAUUGUGAUUUAAGUCUAACUAAAUUUUGUGAUAAAAUUAAUAAAAUCAACUUACCGAUAAUAACAAAAUCCAAAUAAAUAUUUUAAUUGAUCCAGAAGCGUGCAAGGCAUUGCACUAAGGCGUAUUCUCGCCCUUACGUGCGGGAUUAACCGGAAAUAACACCCCAAGGUACGACCGGAAUUCCUCCUCCUGCCAGCACGAUCGUGAAGGAGGUUGACGGAGACUCUUUCAACACCCAAUGAUAAAAAGAUCAAAACACAAUAAAAUAAAGAAUUUAAAUAAAGUUUCUACUUUCAUUUUUUCACUUAAAUUUCUCUCUCAGCACUGUUCAUUCAUUGAAGAUAACCAGUGCAAUCCAUUGUAUAUAUAAUGGAGAGAGAAUGGCACGUUGGGAUUCCAACGUUCCCAACAUUAAUUCCACUUAAUUCAUGCCUUUAUGUGGAAUUAAGAAGAAAUAAAUCAAAUUUAAUUCAUCAAAUUAAUUAACAUAAUAAAUAAGAGUAAUUAUAAAAUUUAAUGAUAUUUAGAGAUUUUGGAUUUUCUCCAACAGUUCUUUACUGGUAGAGUUGUCCGAUCAACCCGUGAGCCUCCCCCGCUAAACUUCGGGUAUGGGGUUAAAUAUUAUCCCUGCUAGAUAACUUACUAUGAAUAAGCCUGAGGUCCUUAUGACCAAGUGGCAUGAUUGGGUAAUAUUACACUAAAUCUUAUAUUGAUGCAUUUACUUCAAUAGCGACUAGCUUGUAUUAUCCUGCUUUUAUUCCUGUGCUAUGUUCAUAUCUUGCAAAUUCAUUCUAUACCCAUCUACCUGCUUUUUUUCGUUGCUGAUUAUUGUACACCUGUUGGUACAACUUGCUCGUCGCCGGUGCGUUAUACUCAUUGGGAUACAUUCAGUUAUAUCUCACACCCUAUUUCUAGCAGGUAUCUUGGGUGUUGAAAAAGAGGAUGCUUUGUAAGGAUCUCGGUAGAUUGCAUUGUCCCAUUAGAAUUAGUUGAUGACCCUUUCCUUUUAAGCUUGCAAAUACGAUGAAUGUUAAAUAUUUUAAGUUAUACAGUUGAAUGUUGAAUUGUGUUUGUUUGUAAUGUAUGACAAUCAGUUUUGAUGUGAAAGUACACUUGGUUUUCGAUUAUGGAUUUCAAAAGAGUUUUAUAUAAGAAAAACAGCGAUGGGAGGAAAUUUAUAUUUUAGUUGCGGAGACGUGAGAGCUAUGUUUGAUAUAUUGCGGAGAUAUGAAGGGAUAUGCGUCGGCGGUAUCACCCCUGUAGUUUACUAGUGGAAGUCUUGCUUGUAUGAUUGCUUUAAGUUUAUAGAUGUGCAACCACCACUAUUUGUAUGCUCGUGAUUGUCUACCAUAUUGUAGUGUGCUUAAGACUGCAUAUAUGGAAGAGAUUCUAAGACUGCAUAUAUGGAAGAGAUUCUGUCCGUAUGGAUAGAAAAAGUCUACGCACAUGGCGGACCUAUGCAUAUCCCGAGGCAUGAUAUGUUUCAAAACUUCACCCGAUUGGCUAAUUGCGCAAUCUGUUUGUUUCAAAAUAAAAAUAGUCACCUCUAUCGAACUAAACCCUUUCAAAUUGAAAAGGUUAAUCUCGAGGCAUGACAAAAAGGUUCAUUGAACCAGAUGUAUCGCCUAAGAGAGCCCAUUACUAUUCGUCAAGAAAAAAGACAGGACUUUGAGGUUGCGUGUGGAUUAUCAAAAACUUCAUAAUAUCACAAUUAAGAACAAAAUAUCCGUUACCCGGCAUCAUCGACGAUCUAUUUGAUCAAUUUCAAGAGUCUCAAGUACACAAUGAUUGAUCUUCUAUCGGACAAAGCACCAGUUGAAAAUCAAACCAAAAGACGUGCACAAAACGGCAUUUAGAAUGCAGUGUCGGAAUUCCUUGAGGGAAUUCCUCCCUUCUAGAAAGGGACAGAAUGCAACCAUCUUUGUGGUUGCAUUUUCAAACACUAGCAGAAACCCAGUACUUGUCCGACUGCGUCGUUCGAACUCACCAAUGCUCCAGCGACAAUCAUAGAUCAAUGAACUGCAUUUUUAAACCCUUUUUUGGACAAAUUUACUGUGAUCUUCCUCGACCACGUCAUGAUUUAUACAUGGAGUUGAAAAGGCAGCUAUUUUUUUUAUUGUUCACAGGCCCCUUACAUCUUCUAUUCACAAGAUAAUGGAAAAAAAAUGAAGAUAAAUAAAAAAAAAUGAUUACAUAUAAAUAGACAACAAGUUGCAGCCCAACUGCAGGAUAAUUGACUUCGAACAAACAAGAUUGACUUCGAACAAACAAGAAUUUUGAGACAAAACUACAUUCAAAGAAGCCAUACCUAAAACCGGAAAUAAAGGAAGAACCUUAGAGACUACUGCUGAAGCUCCCAAUUAUGCCAAGUCAGUGGCAAUCCAAGCUACGGCCAGCAUACUUACCAAAAUCUGAAACAUGAACAAACAUAGAAUAAAUAAACAAAAUAGGCACUUCUUAAAAUAAUUUCCCUUUUGGUAGAAUGUUAGAAGAUACAUAAGGCGUGCACAUGACAUUACAUAAAAUCGAAGUGAGAAAGUCUCUACCAAAUUGUAAAUGGGCGACAACUAUCACACAGAGCUAACUUUGUCUGUCAGCGCCGCCGUGUAGAGCAAUUGGAAGCCGAGGAAGACCACAUCGAUCUCUUCACGAACGGGUGCUCCAAAAGUUGGGAUGUUGAGGGUCGAUCAUCGGGAUUUACUUUGACACAUUGGCUAAUGAAAUCACGGGCAUCUGUCGAUAGAAAGUUUGGUAUAGGAGGUUGUUCUCCCCGACCAAUCUUGAACAAAGCUUGUGUCUGCAAAUAAAAGAAAAUACAUGAACAGUUAAAAAAGCAUUGCACUACACUAAAGUAUUCCUUCAGAUAUAUUAUAUGCUGAGUCGCUGACGAUGCCGGGUGGGUCGCAACUUAUAAUUUAAUACGGGAUAAGUUAUCAGCGAUUUGUGUAAUUCAGUUUUCAAGUUAAAAAAUAGCUUCCAAUGCUAUUUCAAGUACUUGAACAGCUGUAGUGGAAACUAGUGUCCGAGUAUCUUGCAGUUCCUUUCUUUGAUCUUUUACUAUCAUGCAACACUACAGCUUCCCUCUAGUAAUAUAAAUGUAUUAUGUACAGAAAUCCUCCAUUGCACAGGUGUGGGACAUCAAACAUAGGACAAAGACUGACUCAACUCAGCAACAUGACAACUCCAAGAAACUAAUGUUUCCUUAAGGUUUUCGCCUAUAUGUAGAGUGUUACUUUGCCAAAAUAAUGUAAUCUGUAUUUGAUAUAUCCUAUGCAAUUAUUGUACAAAAACAUAAAGAUCCAAAUCUUUGUCCGUCAUGAAUUAGAAGAUAGAUUCUCAACUAUAGGAGGUCAGCAAUAACUGUAAUGAGGAACAUAUUAGCACAAUUUUUGGGCAAGCACACAAUGGACACAUCUCAAAGAUUGACCAUGGAUCUCGACCUCAUGCCCGAAUAUUUGCAGAAGGAUUGAACUGAGAAUGGGCCAAUACUGUUUGUGCAGCAGGGCUCAGCUACAGACUGGGCAUUAUCAUUAUAGUCGGUAAAUCAAGACAGACAGAUAUUUAUAGUAACUGACCUGAGAUUACGGUUUUUGCCUUACCAAGAGGCUGAUUUGCAAUUUACACUGAGGAACAUUUAUGGCAUUUGCUCAACAAUAGCAUGAUUUGUCCACAAUAGGAGAGCCAAUUAAAAAAUUCAAACAAGAGUGCAGGAGUUACAACGGCGCUAACGAUCUGGCAAUCACAGCUGGAUUUAUGGGGAGAGUAUAGCUAGCAGGCCACUUUAUAAUAUCAGCAACUACAAUGCAGCAAGGGACCUCUCCUCACCACCCAAACUUACCAUAGACUCCAAGAGUAGCUGUAACUUAAAAGCUAGGAGUCUUAAAAUAAAAAUCUUGUGCCUUCCGAUUAUGACUCUCUAACAUGCUAGAUAGUUUUACACGAUCUCUUUGAUAGUUCAAACACAUAGAAAAGGAAAGGAGGGGCAUUCCUUUUUUCAUUAAUGACCCAAUAACAAAGUUAACUCCCUGCGAAGCUAAAAUGUAAGCAAUAGUUGAAUGCUAAAUAUUACUGACCCACUCCAGAUUAGGAUAGGGAAGCUGACGUGUCAGCAUCUCCAAAACAGUGCAACCUAAGCUCCAUAUAUCUGCUGCAGGCCCAUAUGUCCUUCUAGGAUUGACAACCUGAAAAUGAAAGUGUUUAGUCAGAAAGAGCUUAAACAGUUGUGCCCAAAUAACAUGACACCUUAAAUUAUUGCAUGUGCAAUAAAUAUAAAGGAAAUAUAUAAAAAGUAUAAGCAACAAAACAAACAUUUAGCUAUUUUGUUUCCCUGCUAAGAAUGAUACAUGAGGACUCCGAAAACAAUGGCAAUGUAACUUAGAAAAGUAUAAUUAUUGUCUCAAUUUAACUUCAAACAACCGGUUUGACUGAAAAACUUGAAAUAAGGACUGAAUAUAAAAAAAGUUUGAAUUUGAAACAAUGCAACUAAUUUGCAAAAUAACAGAUGAAAGCAUGCUUGCUGAUUCCCUUUAUUCAAUUGUUUCAAUAAUACUAACAAGAAUGAUGAAACAAACUUUUUCCUGUGAUCAAAACGUAAUGAUGGUUCUACCACAUAACAGGUGGUCCUUUUAACAAUAACAAAUUAGGCUGAAUAUAACAAUCCAUAUUAGAUUUUGUAUAGCACUGAAAAGAUACUUAAAAUAGCAAUCUAAAAUUUCAAAUUACUGCCUAUGAUCUCAUUAAAUUGUUAUAAACUAACAGGCAGAUGCACAUUAUAUCAGUUUAUGUCACAGAGAAACCUGGAAAAAGAAUGGUUGCCAGUUAAAAAUGUGAUUUUAUUAGACUAAAUGAGAUUAUUGAAUACUUCACAUUUGAAAUUUAUUCACAAUUGAGAACUUAUGGAAGUUUUGAGUUACCAGCCUACUUUCCUAAAGGGUAUUGACUACUUUCAGGGAAUACAUUUAAGUAGGAAAAUUAGUUCAGUUUACCAGUUUAUGUAGGAUCUGCAAACACUAAGGAUUGACAGGGCCGCCCCAUGCUGACCGUGCCGUAUUGUGCUGAGGCCAUGUUGGCAUGUAGCAUGAAGCCAUGCUAACACCUUAGCAACAAAUUUUUUUUUUUUUGCUUGAAUUUUUCAUGCAUUUUGAUUUUUUUUUUUUUUUUGAGAAUAAAAACCUUUAGAAAGGAUUUUCUAUAUUUGAAAUAUGUAGAUCUUGUAAAUCUACUGGCAGUUUGACCAAUUAAUGAGUUCCAUUGUACAAUGAGACCAAAUUUUCGUGAAAAAAUACAAGAUGAUUUUUCUCAAUUUUUUAUUCAUCAUUAUAGAUCUAGUGAAUUUACAGACAGUAGUGGUUUUCUAGGAAGUUUUCAUGCAUAUACUUUCAUCCUAUAUAUAAAAGUUAUUUUUAAUUAUUAAGAUCUUUAAGACUCUAUUCUUAACAUUGUACAAGAUAUAACACUUCAGCCAUUUUUCAUGAAAAUUUUAUAAAAAUACCCGUGCCAAUGUGUGUCGUGGUGCUAGUGGCGUGCCACUGUGCUAUGGGUAUGCUGUUAUUGGUAUGCACGAGGGGCAGUGCCACUGUGUCAUGAAUGGCACAGCAAUCCUUGCAUACACUGUUAUGGGUAUGCUGGAAUCACCAAGAUCCAAAUUGCAUUCCAGUGCAACCAACAUAAAAAUGGAUCAGGUCUGACAAAGGUAUAAAAAAAUAAAUAAAAUAAACCAAUGCAUAAACAAUCUACUAAAUUUAUAGUCAUAAACAAGUUCAAUUAGGUCAAUCAACUAAGUCAUAACUAGGAACUGGAAAGGAAAAUAUUCUAGGGGUACAAGUCUAUAACAAGUGAAACUUUGUAGUGCACACAAAUAUCUAAAUAAAUAGCGACUGACAUAUCUUGCCUAGUUAGGAGCAAGCAACUCAUGAGCAAUAUAGUAACUCAUGAGCAAUAUAGUCUACACUAUAAGAAACCAAUCAUGUUCUAUAAGGUGUUUGAACUUGCAGCUUUCUACCAUGUAAUACCCUAGACUAGAUAAUUAUUUGUUUGGGACCAUUUUUAAAAAAAAAUUGGACCCUUUUGUAAUUUGUAAUAGUAGAAGGGCUUGGCAGAAUUUUGUUCAAAAUUAAACCCUAAUUAACUGACUCCAUCUCUCUCUUCCCCCCCUGUACAGAGAUCUCUCUCGUGGUCCCUCGUCCACACAGACAUGCUCCACGUCACUCCCCACAUUCGUGCUCUCUCUCUUCUCCCUCUCGCUCGAGCGCACGUUGUCCUUGGUCGCCGCCACACUCCUCAAUCAUUGACAGCAUUGUUCGGUUCAUCAUCGACGUCGUUUGGUUCAUUGUCUACGGCACUUCGCUCGCCGUCGUCUUCUUCAUCGUCUUUCAAAAGGUUCUGAAGUUUGACUCUCUAUGCAUUUCGACUGGAUAGCUUGUUAUGGAAAGUCAAAAUGUUAUGGAAAGUCAAAAUUGUAUAUAUUAUGUUUCUAUUUAGCUAGCAUAGUUUAAGGCAUCUUUUCUUAGAGAUCUUUCCUUAGAGAUCUUUCCUUAUUAAAUAUCUUAUUAUAGAAAUAUUUAUGUAUAUAUAUCUUUGUAAUUCAUUAUUGAAUGAAUAAGAAGAAUUUGUAUUCUCUGUGUUCUUUUCUUCAUGGUAUCAGAGCAAAACCCUAAUUCUAGGGUAUAGCGAUCCAGUGCUGUCUUUCUCCCUCACCGGAUCUCAUCGGCGCUACAGUACCGCUACAGUGCGCUACAGUAUUGGUGUUAUUGCUGCAGUCUAAGGUUCGUGCAUCUGGUUCCUGUUUUUUGAUCCUUAGGUGACAUACCUAGGGUUGCUUAUUUGCCUCGCAUCGAGGUGUAGAGUGCAGCCCUGAGAGCUGCUUUGUGACUUGGUCUCGUUGUCCAAGACGCCAUGUCUGAAACUGUGUCUGCUAAGAGUUAGCCAAAAUCUGUGAUUGCUGAUGUGAUCCCAAUAAUGACCAAAAUCACAUAACACAAACUCACCGGCUCCAAUUAUCUGGAAUAGAGCAAGACAGUUCGUGUUUAUCUACGAAGCAUUGAUAAGGAUGAUCACCUAACUAGCGAUCCACCGGACGAUGAUACAAAGCAAGCUUGGUUGAGGGAAGAUGCUCGGUUGUUCUUACAACUCAGGAACUCCAUUCAAAGUGAGGUAAUUAAUCUAAUUAAUCAUUGUGAGUUUGUGAAAGAAUUGAUGGAUUAUUUAGAUUUUUUAUACUCUGGCAAAGGGAACCUCUCCCGCAUAUAUGAUGUUUGUAAGGCAUUUUACCGAUCUGAGAAGCAGGAUAGGUCUCUCACAGCCUAUUUUAUGGACUUUAAACGUGUUUAUGAAGAGCUUAAUGUUUUGUUACCCUUUAGUCCUGAUGUAAAAGUGCAGCAGGUUCAACGCGAGCAAAUGGCGGUUAUGAGUUUUCUUGCUGUCUUACCCCCAGAAUUUGAGAUAGCUAAAUCUCAGAUUCUUUCUAGCUCUGAGAUUUCCUCUUUGCAUGAUACUUUCACCCAAGUACUUUGUACGGAGACUCCUCAAUUUUCUCAAUCUACUAAUAGCGCGCUUGUGAGUCACAAUGAUAAUGGACGGCAUAAUAAUAGAGGGGGCAAUAGAGGGAUUAUUGCCAAUAGAGGUAAUCACCGUCAUGGAGAGACUACCUCUAAUCGAGAUUUUGGAGUUGUUUGCUAUUACUGUCAUGAACCUGGUCAUACAAAGCGCACAUGUUUGAAACUUCAAAAUAAGAACCAACGAUCUCAGAUGGCCAACAUGGCAGCCGAGGAGUAUACAACCCCAUCCUCAGAGAAAACCAUUUUGGUGUCUGCUGAAGAAUUUGCACAAUUCUCCCAAUAUCAGGCAUCCUUAAAGUCCACCAAUUCCCCUGUCACUGCACUCUCCGAGUCAGGUAAAUCCACAUCAUGCCUUGUGUCUUCCCAUUCCAAAUGGGUCAUUGAUUCUGUUGAUACAGACCAUAUGACAGGUAACUCUAGUCUUUUAUCUGCCUUUCAGUCUCAUAUAACAUCUUCUACUUUUACUUUAGCUGAUGGAUCUACCUCGUGUCAUGGGUUCUAGCAUUGGAAACCCAACGUCAUCAAUUUCUUUGUCAUCUGUUUUAUGUUUACCCCAGUUUUCUUUCAAUUUACUAUCUGUUAGUAAACUCACCCGAGCUUUGAAUUGUUGUGUCUCAUUUUUUCCCGAUCAUUGUUUGUUUCAGGAUCUUACGACGAAGCAGAUUAUUGGUAGAGGACAUGAGUCUGGAGGUCUCUAUAUCCUUGACAACCAGGUGCCGAGGUCUCUUGCUUACUCCAGUAAUUUAACUCCUUUUGAAGUCCAUUAUCGGUUGGGACAUCCUUCGUUAUCCACCUUAAAGAAAUUGUUUCCGUAGUUUCAGUCUUUGUCCAGUCUAGAGUGUGAGUCAUGUCAGUUUGCUAAGCAUCAUCGUUUACCUGUCUAGAGUCAAUAAAUGGGCAUCGUCCCCUUUUGAGUUAGUUCAUUCUGAUAUUUGGGGUCCGUGUCCUAUUGUUUCCAAAUCAGGAUUUAAGUAUUUCGUUACCUUUGUGGAUGAUUAUUCUCGUGUUACUUGGUUAUAUUAAUGAAAAAUCGUUCAGAACUAUUCUCAAUUUUGUGCCUUUUGUACUGAAAUCAAAACACAAUUUAAUGUUUCUGUGCGUAUAUUGCGAAGUGACAAUGCCAAAGAAUACUUUUCAGAAAAUUUUCACAGUUAUAUGACACAGAAUGGCAUCCUUCAUCAAUCCUCAUGUGUUGACACUCCAUCCCAAAAUGGAGUUGCUGAAAGAAAAAACCAGCAUCUCCUUGAGGUAGCUCGUGCCUUUCUUUUUCAAAUGAAAGUUCCCAAACAAUUUUGGGCUAAUGCAGUUUCCACGGCUUGUUUUCUGAUUAAUCGCAUGCCUUCGUCUGUCUUGGAUGGUGAUAUUCCUUAUACUGUUUUGUUUCCAUCUAAAUCUUUAUUUCCUAUUGAACCUCGUCUUUUUGGUAGUACGUGUUUUGUGCGAGAUGUUCGUCCACAGGUAACUAAAUUGGAUCCAAAGUCUCUUAAGUGCAUCUUUCUUGGGUACUCUCGUCUGCAAAAGGAGUAUCGAUGCUUCUCUCCUACUCUCGAUCGAUAUAUUGUGUCUGCCGAUGUUACAUUUUUUGAAUCUACUCCAUUCUUUCCUCUCUCAUCUACUUAUGAAAAUGAUGGGGAGGAAGAUGAUCUCCUUGUUUAUACUGUCAGACAAGUGUCCAGUCCUGCAACUGCUAUUCCUGCUCCAUCGGCAACUGUUCAACCCCCUAUUGUUCAUGUCUAUUCUAGGAGAUUGGCGACUCCUGACUCAGAUCCUCCACCAGCUUCUUCGUCGGAAGAUCCACUCACCACCGACCUUGCCUCUGGCUCUGAUCUUCCGAUUGCUCUUCGCAAAGGCAAACGUAAUUGUACCUACCCUAUUUCAUCGUUCGUUUGUUAUGACCGUUUGUCAUCCUCUUCUCAUUGCUUCAUUACCUCUCUGGAGUCAGUUUCUGUUCCUAAAUCUGUUGUGGAAGCUUUGUCCUAUGAAGCACGGAUACUUCGAAUUUCAUGCCGUACCCGUAUCGGAUACGUAUCGGAUACCGAUACGCGCCCGAUACGCGCCCGAUACGUGUCCGAUACGGGAAUGAAGUAUCCGGCAAUUUUAAAAAAUUAAAAAAUAUCGGAUACGGCUCGGAUACGGCUCGGAUACGUGAGGGAUACGGGGGGAUACGGGGGGGACACGGCUAGCUUCUUUUUUAGUCUAAAAUGAUCGAAACUUAAAAUUUUUUUAAAAGCUUACGUCCAAACUUAUUGGAAAGAAGGAAAAGAGUGAGAAAAACGUCAAUCUCUGUUCAAUUUGUCAUUUCAUCUAUCUUUUUGCUCUUGAAUGGUAGAAGACGCUUUUUGCUAUUGAAUGGUAGAAGGCUCUCCCUCUCGUUCUAUCUUCACACAGUAUUUACUCUCUUUCAUCUAAUUUGUCAACCUAGCAUUAAGCAACAAAGGCUAUAGAAAAUAUUAUUUUUUUUCCUUUUCUAUUAAAUUGUUAGCAUAUUUUUUUUAUUACUAAUUUAAUAAUAGAACUAACAAAACAUACAUAUAUAUUGAAUGGCUAAUUAUUUAGUUUAUGCGACUACAUAUCUAUUGUUAUCAUUUGAUCAAGUUGGAUGAUAGUUGGUUUGAUACUUUUUGAGUUAUUAUUUUAUAUGAUUGAUUAUCUUUUUUUAUGAACAUAUGUAGAACAAUUAUACAAGUUAAUGCAUAUUAGAAUAUAUUCCUUAAUAUAGUCCAGAUAUCCUGAUUGUUCUCAAUAUAUUAUUACAUAUAAUCAACAUAUAUUUAAAUAUAUUUAAAAUAAUAUUUUAUUCAAGUAUAUUCCGCGUAUCGUAUCCUAGAAGUUUUAGGAAUUGCCGUAUCGCCGUAUCCGUAUCGUGUCGUAUCCGUAUCCCCGUAUCCGUAUCUGUGCAACAUAGGCUUUGUCUCAUCCUGGCUGGCGUGCUGCAAUGGAAGAGGAAAUGAUGGCUUUAGACGCCAAUGGUACUUGGGAACUGGUACCCUUACCUGCCGGUAAGCGAGCUAUUGGUUGCAAAUGGGUAUUCACUGUGAAAAUGAAUCCAGAUGGUUCUGUAGCUCGCCUCAAAGCCCGCCUUGUUGCCAAAGGCUAUGCUCAUACUUAUGGGGUUGAUUAUUUCGACACUUUUUCUCAUGUGGCUAAACUUGCUUCUAUUCGCUUAUUUAUUUCGUUGGCGGCCACAUCUAAUUAGGUUUUACACCAGCUGGACAUUAAAAAUACUGUUCUCCACAGUGAUCUUCAAGAAGAGGUAUAUAUAGAGCAACCACCUGGUUUUGUUGCUCAGGGGGAGUUGGGUCGAGUUUGUAGACUUCGGAAGUCUUCGAGCUUGAAGCAAAGUCCUCGAGCUUGGUUUGGCAGAUUCAGUGAAGUAGUCCAGGAGUUUGGCAUGAAGAAAAGUAAGUGUGAUCAUUCUGUGUUUUAUAGACAUUCUGAGACUGGUCUAAUUCUAUUAGUAGUGUAUGUGGAUGAUAUUGUCAUCACUGGGAAUGACACUGCAGGAAUCUCAUCUCUCAAGUUGUUUCUUCAAACCCAAUUUCAGACAAAGGACUUGGGAGUGUUGAAGUACUUUUUGGGUAUUGAAGUUACAAGAUGCAAAAGAGGCAUCUUUUUAUCUCAAAGGAAAUAUGUGCUUGACUUACUAGCAGAAACAGAAAAAUUGGGAGCUAAACCUUGCAGUGCACCAAUGGAUCCUAAUCUCCAACUUACAGCUAAUCAUGAUGAAUUGUUUGAAGAUCCAGAAAGGUAUAGGAGAUUAGUUGGCAAAUUGAACUAUCUUACAGUGACUCGACCAGAUAUUGCAUAGUCUGUCAGUGUGUUAAGUCAGUUUAUGUCUUCUCCGAUUGUUACUCAUUGGAAAGCUUUGGGACAAAUUUUGUGUUAUCUGAAGGGAGCUCCAGGGCGUGGUAUCUUGUACAAGAACCAUGGACAUUCAAAUAUUGAAUACUUUUCAGAUGCAGAUUGGGCGGGUUCAAAGGUUGAUAGGAGAUCGACUACAGGAUAUUGUGUUUUUGUUGGAGGUAACUUGGUGUCGUGGAGAAGUAAAAAGCAGAGUGUUGUCUCCCGUUCAAGUGCUGAAUCAGAAUACAGGGCUAUGGCACAAUUUGUGUGUGAAGUAAUGUGGAUACAACAAUUAUUGGAUGGGUUGGUCUUAAGAAUCCACAACCCAUUAAAUUAUGGUGUGAUAAUCAAGCUGCUCUCUAUAUUGCCUCUAAUCCUGUAUUUCAUGAGCGAACUAAACAUAUUGAGAUUGAUUGUCACUUUAUUCGUGAAAAGAUACAAUAUAAGAUCAUUUCAACAAGGUAUAUCAAGACUGGAGACCAGUUGGGGGAUAUCUUCACAAAAGCUUUGAAUGGAGCUCGGGUUGACUACAUUUGUAACAAGUUGGGCAUGAUUAAUAUCUAUGCUCCAACUUGAGGGGGAGUGUUAUGGAAAGUCAAAAUGUUAUGGAAAGUCAAAAUUGUAUAUAUUAUGUUCCUAUUUAGCUAGCAUAGUUUAAGGCAUCUUUUCUUAGAGAUCUUUCCUUAUUAAAUAUCUUAUUAUAGAAAUAUUUAUGUAUAUAUAUCUUUGUAAUUCAUUAUUGAAUGAAUAAGAAGAAUUUGUAUUUUCUUUGUAUUCUCUUCUUCACUUAUAACCUAUCUUUUCGAGAUAAGCGACCUAACACCCGUUAGUUUAUUUUUUAUAAAAUUAUAGAAAUAUGUUAUGACAGAAAAUUUUCUUUUUGUAUAGUUUUUCUAAAAUAAGAAUUAAGCGUGCUUAUAUAAAUUACAAAUCGUUGAAUGAAAAAGAUUUCUAGAAAGUUUUGAUUUGACUGUUGUGCAAUUUUAGAAAAUAUGUACUUUAAAAAUUGUGCUUAUUUAAUAAAAAAUCAGUAUUUGAUAGUUUGUUUUCUUUCAAAUUGUUGACUGGUAAACAAUUUCGAAGUCGUGAUAUCUCUUGGUAUAUUGCUGUAAUGAUGUUGGCCAUGUCGACAUGAAUUUUGUGAUAGAUAUAAGCUUUAAUUUUGAGAUGCACCUCCGAGUGUAAUUUUUUGACACGCCUUCGGUAUGAAAUUAUACCUUAUUAUUUAGGAAAUUUUCUAUUUUGCAUUCUUAAUCCGACUAAUGUGGUGUAUGGUUGCUUACCCAAGUAUUGUAUCUGAUCAGCUUAUUGGGAAUUGGUAUGAGUGAAUGUUAGAAAUGAACUGUACUGUUAGCUUAUGUAUAUAAAAAUAAUUAGACUAUUGAACUUAUAGUGAGUGAACAUUUAGUUAUUGUAUUUUGAAAUUUUACAAGUUUUGAGUAGAAGAUUAUCAACUGUAUAAGUCAAAACAUAUGGAUUUUGAAUUUCUUUUAGUUUAAUUUUGGUACCAUUUGUUUUGUAGCCUUGCAUAUUUGUAACUAAUUAAUUGCAUAUAUGCGGCGCCUGUUAUGCCUUGGUUUUGGGGCAUGAAGGAAUUUGUGGUGUCAGAGAAUAGGUUUAAGGUUCAUAGGAAUAGUAGCAAAUUGAACAAUAGGAUAAUAAGGUUCAUCUUAGGACAUGCGAGAAUGUGCGAGAGGGGUAGACUUUUGGAUUUGGAGGGUUGGAACUUUAAUUUUGUUUUCUAUUUUUUUGUUGUCUUACCAACCAUUGGUCUUCUCUCUGGUCUUCAAAAUCUUCUUAUUCGACUCUUAUGAGUAAUCGUGAUUGAAAUUCCUUAUUUUUGUCUUAACAAUAUUUUUGAACUAAUGUGUAUUCUUUUUAUUCAUCUCUUUGGCUAAUCUUUGUUCUUUGUUUGAUCAUGAGCUAUCAUUAAUCCAGAUAAGGUUCUAAUCUUUUUAUUUUGAUUCACAAUUUUGAUGUAUAAGCUUAGAAUCUUGCCAUUACACUUCUUUCAUCAAAGUUCCUUUCACAUGAAAAAUGUUAUGAUUAUGAAUUCGAUUUCUAAUGUGUUCUAUUUUAUUCUUUGAUUAUGUGAUUGAGAAAUUAUUUUGUGCCUUCUCACAUGUUUCCCUCUUAGUGCAAUCUUCUAUCUACGUGAGUAGGUAUUUCCUUCCAUAAACUAAUUAUAUCAUUUUAUUGUUGUUCCAUUUCUUGAUUAAGCACUUUGUUUAGCCUAUAUUAAUUGAUGCUUUGGCAACUUGAUCAACCUAUGGAAUAGGAUGAUUGUACAUAGUGAUUGUAUUUAGAUCAAUAUUUCGAAUGAUUUAUCUUUAGUUGUGCUAGACCUUUAUGAUAUGAUGAUUAACCAUUUCAUAUGACUUUUUGUCCGUCCUCUCAUGAUGGAUAUGUCAUGGCUAGAUUUUAGCCAAUUGCCCGAAGAAUUAGUUGUGUUCUUGAAUGAUAUAUAUAUUGAUAAAUUUGAUUUUAAGAUCAUAGGAUGAUAUAAUUGAGAUUAUAAAUUAAUUGACUCAUAAUUCUUAGGACUAAAGAACUAUUAGUAAUAUGUAUGGUAUUUUAUCGAGGCUACAGUGAGUAAUUUAAAUUGUUUCAUAAGUAAUAUAUUGGCAUAAAAGAAAGGGAUAAUUGCCUAUAUACCCCUCAAAACUUCUGAAAUAUCUAAUAUACCCCUAUUUUUUUUGUUUCAAAUAUACCCCUCACAUAUUUCUCCGUCAUUCAAAAAAAAAACACUGUUGUUAGUACCCGUUAAGUCAUCUUGGGUUAAAUCCGGGUUAAAUUUCUACCAAGUUAAAAAAAAAAAGUCAAAAUACCUCUUUUACCCUUAACUUAAGGGCAAAUAAGAAAAGUUGGUGACAGUAGAAGGUAUAUUUGAAAGGUAAAAUACUAAUUUCACAGAGCUAAUGAUUGUUCUUAACAGUUCAUUAAUAGAAUCUAACUUUAGGGGUAUAUUUAAAAGAGCUUGCAAUGUUAAAAAGUUAUUUUUAAUAUUAGCCUUCUAAGAUGGAUAAAUAAGAAAGUAGGGAACCUUACAUGGUUACAUAAGAAAAUUGCCCCUAAAGAGAAAUAGAGGUUAAUUAUAAGUGACUUGCUUAAAAUUUAGAGUCCAAAAUAUGAUAUCGUGAAAAGAAGAGGAAUGUCAUUGUCGGAUUUCAAAUAUUUACGAUAUUGGGAAAGGAUUUUUCUUACGCAAUCACUGAUAUGAUAAUACAUGAGUAUUAAAGAUUAUAAUUUUCUCUCGGUUUGUUGAAUUAAAUACAAAUCGAAAGAUGAGGAUCACAUUUGUAAACUUUUAUCAUAUGCGAGUGACAUUACAAACAGUAGUAUUGUAGCUGUAACAACACCCAUACAUUUAUUUCUUUUAUUUGGACCCCAAUUCCUUUGAAAUUUGGACCUUUUUAUAGAUAUUAAGAGUUGAGGGCUUGGCGGCAUUUUGUGUUAAUUAAUCCCUAGUUUCAAUUCCCUCUCAUAUUUGUAUCACCCUACUGCUCCCUCUCAUGCCAUACAUCGACUCGUCCUCCCUCUCAUGCCGCACCUCUCCCUUGCACACACACGCACGCGCGUGACGCCGUUUGAUCAUCGCCGUCGUCGUCAUCGUCAUCCGUGGCCGCCGCCGCCGCACUUGUCAUCUAUCGACAUUUUGGUGGUGGCCACACUCCUCAUCUAUCGACAUUUUUAGUUCGCCGUCAACGACAUCUCGUCGUCAUUGUUUUCAUCUUUAAGAAGGUUCCUUUCUUUUCAUUUUUGUCCCUACACCUAUUCUUGAGAGCAUCAAAUUUUCUUAUCCAUAUUUAUGUGAUUAUUUUUAGGUGUUCUUCUCUAGAUGAUUAGAAUAAAAAUCAUUAAAAUCUGUUUUGUAUCGAUCUAAAAUCAUUGUUGAUUCUACUGUUAUCUUUAUCUUGUAUCUUCAUGAAUUUCAGUUGUGUGAUUUCCCUAUAUUCUACAUGUUAUUCGGAAUGCCCUCUCGGUUUCGACAAAAUGCCUAAGAGAAAGCAAACGUCAUUUUUGUUUCCAGUUUUGAUCCCAUCUUAUUGCAGUUUGUGAACGUAUGUUUCAACAUCUGAAAAUCAUUGUUUCGAGCACUAGAACCUUAGUUUAAUAAUUAAAGCUGCAUUCACAUUUUCUUGUUCCCUUGAAUUGUCUAGUUCUUGGAACCCUUCCUUUUUCUUGAUUAAUAAUUAAAUUUUCGUUUAGUUAUUAAUCUAAAUCUCCUUCGUGCUCCAUCUCAACCUAUUUGCAUGCAUUUGUAACCGACCUUGUCAACCUAUGUGAGCCUAUCCGAAUUUAAUUGUUUGUAUAAGCUUUCUUCUAAAUGCUUAUGUCAUCUUUGUAAUUUUAUUUUAGGUAGCUUAUAGAGAAUCAUAAUUCUUAAUUUAGAUUUCGAUGAUUGACUCCCUUCGCAUUUUCGACUGGAUAGCUUCUUAGCUUAGAAGCUACUUUUAAGAGACACCCGUUAGUAUUUUCGCAAAAUAAUUUAGAAAAAUAUUUUGAUUGUGCGAAAAUCUUUAUUUUGUAUAUUUUAAAAUUCAGGGUUGUUAAGCGUAUUAUUAAACAUUUUUGGAAAAUAAGUUUCAACUUUGAUUAAUAGGUUCCAUAAUAAUAGAAUUUUGAAGUUUGAUAAUAUGUUCUAUAAAUUAGUGGUUGGAUAAGCAUUUUUUUGAAUUAUAAUUUCUCUUGGAAUUCUAGUAUACUAAUGUUGGCCUUGUCGACAUGUGCUCUAUUAUAGAAGUUAGCUUCGUCUCUGUAUUGCGCCUUCGGGUGCAUGCCGCCUUUAUUCUAUAUUUGCACUUUCGAGUGCCUCUGUUCUGUAUAUGAACCUUUGGCUGCCUCUAUUCUGCAUUUGUGGUUAUGGGUGCCUCUGGAUCUCGCCAACGAAUCAUACUAUAUAGUUAGUUAUCAAAGACUUAAUUUUUAUUUCUUUUAUUUGCUGAAAAGGAAAAAUACUUUGUUAAUUAUAGUCCCUUUUGAUAUAAAUUUUAAAUUUUGAUAAUCUCUGUUUUUCUGAAAUUUUGUAAACGAAAAGCCAGUCACUUAAAUUAGUUUCUGUAUGAAAAUUUACUUCAUAGCUUUUGUAUUUAUUUAUUUGUAUGCUUAAUCUGACUAAUGUGGUGUAUGAUUGCUUACCCAGGUAUCGAGACUGUUUUGCCGGGUGGGGGCGGAACUGAGUAAACAUUAGACGUAGUUAUUAUUUGAAUUUAUUUUCUUUUGCUUUUAUGUAUGGUGUAGCCAGAUGUGAAUAAUUGAACUUCGUAAACUAUCAUCAGGUUUUAUUUUGCUUAUGUUUCGUCGUUCUUCUCUUUGCCUCGCAUAAUUAUUAUUUUGGUAUUUGUUGGACCAAAUUUUUGUUUGUGUUUUGUAGUUAACUUUCGUUUUAUAUAUGUGAGAAAUUAUUUUAAAUCUAGUUGAAAUUUAGUUGUUAAUCUCAUAUUUUUCGUUCUUUGGAUUUUGCAGAAUUUUUGUGAUCUCCAUUGUCUGUUUUCUAUUUGAUUCUGUAGCCUUUCGUAUUUGCUAUUUUAGCAGGUAUGCGGAUUCUGUUACGCCUUAGAUUUGGGGCGUGACAAAAAUUGUUUGGAGAAUACUGAACGUUAGCAAAUUGUAAGGUUCCAGUGUAAGAAUAGUAUUUUAAGCUAUUCUGGAAGUUUUGAUUGUUGUCUGAACUGUGCCGACCUGUUUCCGGAGCUAGAUAAGCGCGAGAACAGGUUUUUGACAUCAAAAUCUGCAAACUGCAGUUUUUGGUGUUGAGUACCGGUACUGGCUUUGAGGUACCGGAACUCAGUAGAAAGCAGAUUUGGGCUGUUCUCGGGUUUUGUGAAACCAAAUUGUGUACGGUACUGAGCCGAGUACCAGUACUGCAUCGGGGGGUUACCGGAACGCAGCAAAAACCAAAAUUUCCAACGUUCGGAUUUUGCGGAACCAACCUUCGGGUACCAGAACUACCGAGUACCGGUGCUCCAUUUCGUGUACUGGUACUCAAUGCUGCAGAGACUGUUUCAUGCAGUGUGUAAUUUCUGAAUUUUUGAAGGGCCUAGGGAGAUAUUGUUACAUCAUGUAUUAUAUCCCUUCAUCCCCCUCAUUUGCUCUCUUUGUGCUGAUUUUAGAGAGAGAAGAAGGUGAGUUUGCUCUCUCUCUUGGAUUUCUUCCUCCCAACCCCUGAAUUCUUGGGUUUGAUCUCUUUUUCUUUAUCUUCCUCUUUGAAGCUUUGCCACUAGGCCUUGGAAGGGAGCUCGGGAUUGAAGAGAGGAUCUUGUUUGAGGAUUAAACUCCAACCCUAGCAUCAUAUAGAUUGGUUUGGAACUUUAUUUGAGGUUAGUAAUCUUUUUGCAUGUUCUAAUUGUGAACUUUGCAAAAAUUUUGGUAGAAAACCUAGUUUGGAUGAAACUAGGGUUUAUUUUUGGGGUUUCUUGAGUUUGAGCUUUUGGAGUUGAAUUGAUGGGUAUAGAACACUCUUUUAGGUUGGAUUUGAAGAUCCUUCACUUUGGUUUGGACCUUGGACAAAUUUUGUUUGAUUAAAGGUAAUUUUCACUUAUUUUCUACUUGAUUUUUGGUGAAUUUCAUGGUAAGCUUUUUAGAAGCUUGUAAUCCCUUUGGGAAUUUUUCUUAGGGUGUUAGAAGUCUAGAGGACAAUUUUGUUUGGAGAAACAAUCAAGUUUUGAAGGGUAUCCGGUGGGAUUGACCUCACCAAAAUGGGUGAACUCGUCCUAUGUCUUCUAUCCUGUUAUAGGAUUUAAUAGAUGCAUUUUCAUGUUAUUCAUGACAUCAUACAAUUUUUGAACACAUGACAUAUGUUAUAUAUGAAAUUUUGCAUUCUACAUAACAUGACAUAUUCAUGUUAUAUAUGAAAUUUUGCAUUCUCUAUGUAGUAGAGGGCUUGUGAUAAACAACAUGCAUAUCAUGGCAUAUGAAUGGUAUUAUUCUCUUGAUCUAAUAUAUGUAUGCAUGUUAGAGAUGAGUAGUAGCAUCCUAUGAAACACUACAUGACUAGUGGAACUAUUGGGCUUAAACUUGCAUGGGAACUUUAUUUUACAUUUGCUAUAGUUAAGGAAAACAUGAUAUAUUGCAUGUAAAUGACAAGUUGUAAAGCUAAGUAUAUUUGUACUUAACCAAGAUGAACAACGAGAGAUGACAUCAUGACAUUGUACUCGACUUCUAGGUCGUUAAUUGAUAUUCCAUAUUUUAGACAUGACGAAAGAGUUUCCUACGCAUCCGAUUAUGCUUGUUGGGCUCAUUUGCACAAGCUAGUGAGGGUCGCUCCCUACAAGCCGGCACUCCGGAGUUAGCCUUUGCGACAUCAUGCUCGCCCGUGCUGGAUUGGGCGCUGAAGAGGUUGCCGUGGGCGACACUCAUUCCUAGAGGGGGAAUGUUCACUACCACGGGGCCAUUAGGCACGACACAAGUCGGGACAAUACAUUGUGUAAGUCCCCGAUGAUUGGGUAAUUAUAAUUAAACUUAACAUUGUAUAUCACCACGAGUUGAUGCAUUCAUAGUGUUUGGACAUACUAGUUGACAUUACACACUCAUAUAUUGACAGUGGUAGAACCUUAUACAUGUCCAGUUAAUAUAGAUGUUUAGAGGCAUCGUAGUAUUAGAAUUUAUAAUUCUUUAUUCUAUUCAUGCUUUACCUUUAGCUAUUUCUACUUUUGCCUCAUUUGACCUAAUAGUGUAAUUCACUUUUCUCGGCAGCUUACCCACUGAGAACUAUUGUUUAAUAGUUCUCACCCCCAUGUGCUUGUUGAUUUUGUUUCUGAGUCAUCCACUACGAGAGAGGCCGGAGACCGCGACAAGGGGUUAGCGACUAGCUAGAGCCUCUUGGGAGUUGCUUAGGUGGAUUCAGGACACCUUUCUUUUGUUUUAGUCAUGAAAGGUGUCUUAGAUCAUUUUGUGUAGAAUUUACCCUGGAUUCAUGAGAUGUACUUUUGUUCUUGACUUAUUGUAUAUCUUAUGAGAGGUUUAUAUUUCUUGUUGUUUCUUGUAGUAAUUGUUGGCUUAUUAUAUAGUUUAUUUACUCAUGCUCUGAUUAUCAUGUUAGGAUUAUUUCUUUCCUCUCUUUAUUGUUUGUUUUGUGAUAGACGCCUUGUGUGCACCGGGGGUGACUUGUGCACACGGCAAGUCUGUGCACGUGUCAGGUAGACUUUCGCUGAGGCCCAGGCAUGACAGUAGUAUCAGAGCCAUUGGUUUAGAAGUCCUAGGACUUUUAAGGUGUAGGACUGUGAGCUCAUUAGAACGUGUGAGGAUGGCUAGUAGGCUUAUGUUUGACUAUGUUUUGCCUUUUGUUUUAUAGUUUCCGUUAAUACCCUGUAUUAAUGCACUGUUUGAUCUUUUCUCUUGCUAAAGAUGGUGCGUCCACCUCGCCAUACCCACACCAACAACGAGCAACCCAAGAACCCACCUCUCGUUGGAUCCGGAGAUACAAACCACACUUGCUUCCUUUUUGAAUGCUACAUCCUCAGCAAUGGUUCCACCUCAGACCACUGAUCUACCUACUAUCCAGAUUCCGUUGCAAUCGACCGUAGCGCCAUUAAGGAACGCUUCGGCUAUUGCUCUUCUACAGCAGGAAACUAGUACAGGGAUGCCUUCGACAACUGUUCCCACUACUGUUCCACUUUCGCCGUCGACUACUCUUCCCAGCUCCAUUCCACCUCUACAUCAAACUACUGUUCCAGCAUAUUCAGCUACAUUACCUCAGCCGAUUGCUCCAGCAACCCACUUACAGCAGAGCGCCAAGAUGGAUCCCUUGGUCGCCACAUUGAUAAAACUAUUGUGGGGUUAGUUCAGACUCGGCAACAAAAUUUGCAGCAGAAUCCCUCUCCUAGUGCCAUUGAGUCGAAUUCGAGAGUUCAAGAGAAGAGCAUCAGCAAAUUUAAGAAAUCUACUCUCCCACCUUUUUCAGGCACUACAAAUCCAAACGAAGAGGAAACUUGGAUCAUGGAGAUAGACAAGGCAUUUUAUGGUUAUGCAGUGCACCGAUGAGGAGAAAAUCAGGUUCAGGACAUUCAUACUUCAGAGCAAAGCAAACAAUUGGUGGGAAAGCGAGUUAAGAACCCACGGUAAUGAUUUAGCAACCUAUUUGUAGAAGGAUUUUCAAUCAGCAUUUUAUGCCAAGUAUUUUUCGAGUAAGCUUUGCCAUCUUGAAAUGCAGUUUCUGGAUUUGAAGCAUGGUUCGAUGCCUGUGGAAGAAUACGAGGCCGAGUUUGACUGACUAUCCCAAUUCGCCCCGAAACUGGUGGAUGAUGAUGAAUCGCGGGCGAAGAGAUUUGAGGAAAGGCUAAAUGGACAUAUUCGCACUGACCUCGUACCGCUACACCUAGAGACGUGAGGAUGUCGUUUCCAGAGCAAGAUCCUUAGAUUCAGUCUGGAGGCAGACUCGGGAGAAGCAAAAUUCAAAUUAGAAGAAGAAAAACAGAGAUUCUUUUAGAAAGGGAGAUCUAAAUGCAAGAGGGUCAGACAGACCUGAUGACUAUGAGAGGCCACUUAAUACCAUUUGUUCCUUGUGGCAGACCACCAAAUCAGGACCAGAGCCGAAAUGCUCAAUUUGUGGCGACUCACAUAAGAAUACAGACUAUAGACAUGUCACUAGUGGUUGCUUCAGAUGUGGCGAUUUGAACCACCGGAUAGCUCAGUGCCCUCUGCCUAGUACUGACUCAAACACUAGACCUAAGCCUCAAGAGAAAUCGACUGCUCCAGUUGAUCGCGAUCAUGCCCCUCCUACAUGUCAGUCCAGAGGUGGAAGACCUCAAACAAAAGGUCCUGUCUAGGCUCUCUCCCAGCAAGAUAUCCAGGCAUCUAAUGUUGUGGUCUCAGGUAUUCUGUCCGUAGCCACCGCUUUUGCUCGUGUGCUCUUUGAUUCUGGAGCUACUUAUUUCUUUCUUUCUACUUUUGUUCGAAAGUAUUUAUUACCUUCCGAACCUUUGGAUUAUAUUGUGUGCUGGUACGCCUUUGAGAGAGGAGCUUGUAAUUGGCUGAGUUUGUAAAAGUAUGGUCAGAGUUGACAGUAGGAGUUUAUUGGCAAACCUCCGUGUAAGGACAUGCGAGACUUUGAUAUGAUUCCUAGGGAUGGAUUAGCGUUUGUCACAUUUUGCUAUUUUGAAUUGUCGGGAGAAGCGGGUAGAUUUCAACAUUCCUAGGAAGGCAGAUUUUGUUCUUCUCGAGAGUGGAUCUUACACCCUACUUCCGAUCAUUUCUUCCUUUAAAGCUACUCAUCUCUUAAGGAGUGGCUAUGCUGGACUUUUGGCGUUGUUGAAUGAUCUGAGCUCAAACACUCUGAGAUUAGAAGACAUCCCGAUAGUGAAUGAAUUUUUAGAUGUUUUUCCCGACCUUCCUAGGCUACCUCCGGAUAGAGAGAUUGAAUUUUCUAUUGAUUUAGCUCCGGAAUCAGAUCCUAUUUCUAAGACGCCUUACAGAGUUGAGCUCAAGGAACAGCAAGUGCAACUUCAGGAACUUCUGGACAAAGGGUUCAUUAGACCUAAUGUCUCUCCUUGGGGCGCUCUAGUGCUUUUUGUCAAGAAGAAUGGUACUAUGAGAUUAUGCAUCGGUUACCGCGAGCUAAACAGAAUGACUGUGAAGAAUCGAUACCUAUUGCCGAGAAUUGAUGAUGUUUUCUCCAAAAUUGAUCUACGAUCAAGAUACCAUCAGCUAAAGAUCAAUGCCAAAAAUAUACCAAAAACUGCUUUUCGCACAUGUUAUGGGCAUUACGAGUUCCUGAUAAUGCCUUUUGAAUUAACUAAUGCUCCAGCCUCUUUCAUGGAUUUGAUUAAUAGGGUUUUCAAACCUUUCUUGGAUAAGUUCUUAGUAGUUUUCGUAGACGAUAUUCCGGUGUAUUCUAAUAGUUUAGCCGAGCAUGUGAAACAUCUCAGGAUAGUUCUAGAAACUCUUCUACAAAGGGAACUUUGUGCCAAAUUUAAGAAGUGUGAAUUUUGGUUGCAAAGUGUAUCCUUUCUCGAACAUAGUGUCUAAGAAUGGUAUUUCGGUGGAAACUGAGGUAGAGGCAGUGGAGAAUCGGCCAAGACCAAGUAGCGUCACUGGGGUUCGAAAUUUCAUGGGUUUAGCAAGAUGCUAUAGAAGAUUUUUGGAAGGUUUUUGUUGCCUUAAUACACCUUUGUCUCUGUUGAUCCUGAAAGGAGUUAAAUUUCAAUGGUCGAAUGAAUGUGAACAAAACUUAACAGGGUUGAAGAAACAUCUAGUAUCAGCACCUAUUCUUACCUUGCCUAUAAGUGGCAAAGGAUUCACUAUUUAUAGUGAUGCCUCAAAGAAGGUUGGAAUGUGUCCUGAUGAAGAAAGACAAAAUGAUUGCUUAUGCCUUAUGACAGCUGAGGCCUUUCGAGAGAACUACCCAACUACGACCAAGAGUUGGUAACUGUGAUCUUUGCAUUGAAGAUCUAGAGACAUUAUCUCUACAGCGAGCCUUGUGAGAUUUUUACCGACCCCAAUAGCUUGAAAUACAUCUUCGUAUACAAGGAACUAAAUAUGGGACAGGAGAUGGCUAGAGUAAUUGAAAGAUUACGAUAUGACCAUCAAGUACUAUCUGGGUGAAGCCAAUGUCAUAGCCAAUGCUCUCAACAGAAAAUCAACAGGGAAUAUUGCGGCACUGGUGACUUCUCAACAACAUAUUCUGGACGACCUCAAACGACUCAACAUAGAAAUUCGUAUCCGUGGGUGUGAAGCUCAUUUGGCUAAUUUACAGAAUUACAAGUUCAACCUACACUAAUUGGUAGGAUUAAGUCAGCCCAAGCGAGUGAUCUACAUCUUUAGAGAACUCGACAAUUAGUGGAAUCGAGAGCACAAUUGGAGUUCAGGAUCCACGAAGAUGGCUCUUUUAGUUUUAGGGACCGGUUAUAUGUUCCCAGAAAUCCCGACCCCAAAAAUGAAAUGUUGAAGGAAGCCCACUAUUUGGGAUAUUCAGUGCUCCCUAGAGGAACCAAAAUGUAUAGAGAUUUGAAGGACGUCUUCUGGUGGAAUAACAUGAAAAAGGAGAUUGCGGAAUUUGUGGCUAAGUGUUUGACUUGCCAGCAUGUGAAAGUCGACUAGCAGAGACCAACCAGCUUACUUCAACCUCUUCCGAUUCCUUGGUGGAAAUUGGAGAGAAUAACAAUCAAUUUUGUAUGCAGACUACCUAGAAGUGAAAAAAGAAUGAUGCAGUUUCGGUCAUAGUCGACAGAUUGGCUAAAUCAGCACACUUUUUGGCUAUAAAGACGGGUAUGACUUUGGAGAAACUAGAGGAGCUUUAUACUGCACAUAUAGUACGCUUGCAUGGGGUUCCAGUUCCGAUCGUGUCUAAUCGUCACUCGAGAUUUGUGGCUCACUUCUGGAGAAUAUUGCAUAAAGCUUUCGAGACCACACUGGACUUUAGCAUCGCCUUCCAUCUCCAAACAGAUGGUCAGUCAAAGAGAACAAUCCAAAUUUUAGAAGAUAUGUUACGGGUUUGUGCUAUCGAUAUAAGAGGCUCUUGGGAUCAUCACCUACAAUUAGUCGAGUUUGCCUACAAUAAUAGCUUCCAGGCUAGCAUACAAAUGGCUCGUUUUGAAGCUUUGUAUGGAAAGAAGUGUAGGUCUCCUCUAUGUUAGAAUAAUGUUGGUGAGAGAAAACUACUUGGUCCAGAGAUUGUCCAGCAAAUUAUUGAGAAGGUUCAUUUGAUUAAAAAGAAUCUCAGAGCAACUCAGAGUCAGCAGAGGAGCUAUAUUGAUAACCAAAGACGAUCGCUUGAGUUUGGAGUCGGAGAUCACGUUUUUCUGAAAGUGUCACCUUCAAGAGGUAUUCUGCGCUUUGGAGUCCGUGGGAAAUUUACCCUCAUUAUAUGGGCCCUUUGAGAUACUAGAAAGAAUUGGUGACGUAGCGUACAAACUUGCCUUACCGCCUUCUUUCACGUAUUUAUGUUGAGGAAAUAUGUCCAUGAUUCGAGCCAUGUGGAGCCGAAACCCUUACAGCUUAGAGAAGAUCUAUCUUAUGAUAAGCGGCCGGUACAUGUCGUAGACCGAAAAGAGCAAGUUUUGAGAAAACAGACCAUUCCAUAUGUUAAAGUACAGUGGAGCAACCUUCUGAACGGGAAGCUAUUUAGGACCUCAAGGAGCAGAUAGGAGCAAAGCACCCUCUUUGAGAGCUAAGAUAUGUUAAGUUUAAAAGACUACACUUCUUUGUAGGAGGGGAGGGUGUAACACUCCAUACCUUUAUUUCUUUUGUUUGGACCUCAAUUCCUAUGAAAUUUGGACUUUUUUGUAAAUAUUAAAAGUUGAGGGGCUUGGUAGCAUUUUGUGUUAAUUAAUCCCUAAUCUUAAUUCCCUCUCAUAUUCGUAUCACCCAGCCGCUCCCUCUCUCGUGUCGUACAUCAACUCAUCCUCCCUCUCAUGUCACGCCUCUUCCUCGCAUGCACACGCACGCGCGCGACGCCGUUUGAUCACCGUCGUCGUUGUCGUCGUCGUCAUCUGUGGUCACCGCCGCCCUCAUCUAUCGACUUUUUUGGUUCGCCAUCAACGAUAUCUCCUCAUCAUCAUUUUCGUAUUUAAGAAGGCUCUUUUUUUUCAUUUUUGUCCCUACACCUAUUCUUGAGAGCACCAAAUUUUCUCAUCCAUAUUUAUGUGAUUACUUUUAGGUGUUCUUCUCCAGAUGAUUAGAAUUAAAAUCAUUAAAAUCUGAUUUGUAUCGAUCUAAAAUCGUUGUUGAUUCUACUGUUAUCUUUAUCUUGUGUCUUCAUGAAUUUUACUUGUGUGAUUUCCCUAGAUUCUACAUGUUAUUCGGAAUGCCCUCUAAGUAUUUGACAAAAUGCCUAAGAGAAAGCAAAUGUCGAUUUUGUUUCUAUUUUUGAUCCCAUCUGAUUAAUAGGUUCUGAACUUAUGUUUCAACAUCUAAAAACCAUUGUUUCACGCACUAGAACCUUCAUUUAAUAAUUAAAGCUCCGCUCAUAUUUUCUUGUUCCCUUGAAUUGUCUAGUUCUUGGAACCCUUCCUUUUUCCUGAUUAAUAAUUAAAUUUUCGUUUAGUUAUUACUCUAAAUCUUUUUCUUGCUCCGUCUCAACCUAUUUGCAUGUAUUUGUAACCAACCUUGUCAUCCUAUGUGAGCCAAUCCAAAUUUAAUUGUUUGUAUAAGCUUUCCUUUCUAAAUGCCUAUGUCAUCAUUGUCAUUUUAUUUUUAAUAGCUUAUGGAGAAACAUAAUUUUUACUUUAGGUUCCGGUGAUUGACUCCCUUUGCAUUUUCGACUAGAUAGCUUCUUAGCUUAGAAGCUAUUUUUAAGGAAAUCGACCGGACGCCCAUUAGUUUUUCAAAAAAUAAUUUAGGAAAAUAUUUUGAUUGUGCGAAAAUCUUUAUUUUGUAGAUUUUAAAAUUAAGGGUUAAGCAUAUUAUUAAACAUUUCCGGAAAAUAAGUUUCAAUUUUGAUUAACAUGUUCCUUAAUAAUAGAAUUUUGAAAUUCGAUAAUCUGUUCUAUAAAUUAGUGGUCGGAUAAGCAUUUUUUUUUAAUUAUAAUGUCUCUUAGUAUUCUGGAUGCUAAUAUUGGCCAUGUCAAUAUGCACUCUGUCAUAGAAGCUAGCUUUGUUUCUAUAUUGCGCCUUCGGGUGCUUGCCCCUAUUCGCGCCUCUAUUCUGUAUUUACACUUUCUAGAGACUUUGUUUUGUAUAUGCACCUUCGGGUGCCUUUGUUUUGCAUUUGCGCAUACGGGUGCCUCUAGAUCUCACCAACGGAUUCACACUAUAUAGGUAGUUACCGGAGACUUAAUUUUUAUUUAGUUUAUUUGCUGAAAGGGAAAAAUACUUUGUUAAUUUAUAGUCCCUAUUUGAUAUGACUUUUAAAUUUUGAUAAUCUCUUUUUUUCUGAAAUUUUAUAAACGACCAGUCACUUAAAUUAAUUUCUGUAUGAAAAUUUACUUCAGAGCUUUUGUAUUUAUUUAUUUGUAUGCUUAAUCCGACUAAUGCAGUGUAUAAUUGCUUACCCAGGUACCUAGACUGUUUUGCUGGGCAUGGGCGGGACCGAGUGAACGUUAGAUGUAGUUAUUGUUUGAAUUUAUUUUCUUUUGUUUUUGUGUCUGGUGUAGCUAGAUAUGAAUAACUAAAUUUUGUAAACUACCAUCUAGUUUUAUUUUGCUUCUGAUUCGUCGUUUGUCUCUAUUCCUUGCAUAAUUAUUAUUUGUCGUAUUUGUUGGACCGAAUUUUUGUUUGUAUUUCGUCGCAAACUUUAGUUUUAUAUGUGUGAGAAUUUAUUUUGAAUCUAGUUGAAAUUUAGUUGUUAAUAUCAUAUUUUUGAUUCUUUGGAUUUAGUGAAAAUUUUGUGAUCUCUAUUUUGCCUGUUUUAUGUUUAGUUCUGUAGCCUUAUGUACUUGCCAUAUUUUGCAGGUAUGCAAUGUCUGUUGCGCCUCGGGCUUGGAGCAUGACAAUAGUAAAAUAUUACAAAUUAUUAUUUUGUUGAAGAAUUAUCGGCAACUAAUUUUUUAUGUGUAUUAGAGUGUGCAGCAGAAGCCCAAUGUGAAAUUCAAGGAUUGAAAUUAAUUUGUAUAAUUGUAGAUGUGAUAAUCGGCAUGUGAAUUUCGAUAUCAGAACAUUAAGACAAAAUGAGUAAUUGUUAUAUCAAGUGUCUGAGAAAAUUAUUUAGAUUUUGAGGACAGAAGUUUUAUUAAUACGGAAUAUGAAUUGUUUUAUUCUUAAAAUUUCUCAAGGCUUUUUUUGCAUUUAGCCCUCUCAGAAAUUUUUUUUCCCACAAAUAGCGCCACAAAAUUUAUAUUUGCAAGAUUGGCCCUAUCCCAGCCACGCAAGUGCCAUGUGAGCGUGGAUGGUGGUGUAGGUUAAGUGGAAAACGGUGAACCAUUCACUGUAUUUGGACGUGGUGAAUGAUUCACCAUGUUCCAUUAUUUUCCUACCACGGUAUUAAGUAAUAUUUACGGUUAGGGUUUAGAAAAGACACGAUGAACCAUUCACCGUGUCCAAACACGGUAAAUGGGUCACCUGCUCAACUUAACCUAGAUUGCCACGCACACGUGGCGCUUGCGUGGCUGAGAUAGGACUAAUCUUACAAAUAUAACUUUUUGUGGAUCUACUUAUGGAAAAAAAAUUUCUAAAGGGACUAAAUGCAAAAAAAGCCCAAUUUCUCAUGUAGCUUGAUAAUGAAAAUUUCAAGGAUGAAUUUUCUGUUAGGAGGGAAAAUUGCAAUACCCCAGACUAGAUAAUUAUUUGUUUGGGACCAUUUUUUAAAAAAUUUGGACCUUUUUGUAAUUUGUAAUAGUAGAGAUGCUUGGGAACAUUUUAUGGAAACUUAACCCUAAUUAACCUGACUCCAUCUCUUUUCUUUUCUUAUAUAUGGAGAUCCCGCCGAUCUCCCUCUUUCGUGAUCCCUCGUCUGAAUGCACGCAUGCCGUGUCUCUCUCCACGCUCGUGCUACCUCUCAUCUCCCUCUCGCUCGAGCGCGCGUUGUCCUUCGUCACCGCCGCACUCCUCGAAUCAUCAUCAACAUUGUUCAGUUCAUCAUCGAUGCCGUUUGGUUUCUUGUCCUUGGUCACCGCCGCACUCCUCAAAUCAUCAUCAGCAUUGUUCGGUUCAUCAUCGACGCCGUUUGGUUUCACCAUCUUCUUCAUUGUCUUUGAAAAGGUUUCGGAGUUUUAGCUCUCUAUGCAUUUUCUACAAGAUAGCUUAUAAGCUAUCUUUUCAAGGUAAGCAACCUAACGCCCGCUAGUUUGUUCUUGGCAAAAUUAUAGAAAAUAUGUUAUGACAAAAAAUUUUCUUUUUUUAUAGUUUUCUAAAAUAAGGGUUAAGCGUGCUUAUAUAAAUUCCAAAUCAUUAAAUGAAAAAGAUAUCUAAAAAAUUUUGAUUUGACUGUUGUGCAAUUUUAGAAAAUAUGUGCUUUAGAAAUUGUGUUUAUUUGAUAAAAAAUUAGCAUUUGAUAGUUUGUUUCAUUUUAAAUUGUUGGCUAGUAAAUAAUUUUGAAGUUGUGAUGUCUCUUGGUAUAUUGCUUAAUGUUGGUAAUGUCGACAUGAAUUUUGUGAUAGAAACUAACUUCUAUUUUGUGAUGCAUCUCUGAGUGAAAUUUUGUGAUGCGCCUUCGGGUGCAAUUUUGUGACGCGUCUUCGGAUGCAAUUUUGUGAUAUGCCUCCAGCUGCUAUUAAAAUUCAUUUUCGGGUGCUAUCUGUAGCACACUAAAUUUUAGUAAAUUGCAAGGUUCUAGUGUUCGAAUAGAGUUCUAGGCUAUUCCUUGUGUUCUUGAGGGUCGUUGACUAUACUCCGACCUAUUACUCGCGUCUCGAGGAGCAAGGGUGAGUACUUAGCACCAAAACCUCCAAACUGCAGGUUUUAGGGUGCUGGGUACCGGUACCAGAGAAGGGUACAGGAACCCCGUCGCGUAACCGAGAGAGCUCUCGGGUUUGAGCUCUGCGAGGCAGAGUACCGGUACUGCAUUGCCUGAGUAUCGGUACUGGAGCCUGCUAUCGGUACUGCAUCGCGCGGGUACCGAUACACUGCAGUCUGCCUGCUUGACAGAGGCUCGGGUUUGAACGUUCGGCUGCGGGGUACCGGUACUCCAGCCUACCUACCGAUACGCAAUGCAGUUGCAGACUGUAUAUUUUUUAGGGGACUUUUUGGGAUUGUAGCAACUCUCUAAAUAAUCCCACACCUCCAUUAGGGCUCCCUGUGCUAGGAACCAGUGGAAAGAAGAGGUAAGCUUUCUCCCUCUCCUCUUUGAUUUUUCCCUCCCUUUUGCAUGGGAUUUUGAGGAUCGAUCUCCUUUGUGCUUCUCUUUGCAUGAUGAUGGCUUUCCACCUUGGAGAAGCUUUGGAGUUGUAGAUUUGAGCUUGUUUGAGAAAAGAUCUUCAACCCUAGCACCUUUCUAGCUUGGUUUGGAGCGUAAAGAGAGGUUAGUAGGUUUGAUCUCUCUUUUGGAUCAUGCUAUGUUGGAUUUUUGAGAUGAAAACCUAGUUUUGGAAAAACUAGGAUUUUAUUUGGGGGUUUUUGAUUUGUAGCCUUUGGGGUUAAAUUGAUGGGUGUAGAACUCUCUUUUAGGUUGGAUUCGAAGUAUCCUAGCCUUCAUUUGGAUCUUGGAAGAGUUCUUCACCAUACAAGGUAAUUUUCUACAUAUUUAUGGGUUGGAUUAUGUGGUUUUUGUGGGGUGUUCGUUCAAAACCCCUAACCCUCUUAGAAUAUUUGUUAGGGAGCUAGGAGGCUUGUGGGCAACCUUGUUCGCGCAAACGAAGGGGUUACAAGGGAUAUCCGGUGGGUUUAACCUCACCGAAAUGGGUGAACUCCUCCUAUGUCAUUGCCUUUAUUGUAAAAUGGAAAAUCAUGCAUAUUCAUACUAAAUAGAGCAUAAUGGAAUUUUUGAAUGCUUAAAAUGCAUAUGUCAUGUAUCAUUUUGUAUAACCUGUAUGUAGUAGAGAGAGAAGAGUAUGGUAAACUUGCAUGUGAAAAGCAUUCCUUAUAUAUGGUUGAAAUCAUGUUUCAUUUAGUGAAAAACGACAAGUUUUACAUGCUCAUGGACAUAGAACCCUUGCUUGAUAUAUUGAACAUUAAUGUCAUAAAGCGGCACUUGACUUAGCAAAUGUAAAACCUUUACAUGAUGACAUAGUAAUAGACCGUUGGGCCAUUGGUACUUAUUCCAUAUUUUAGACAUGAUGACCGUGGACUCGAGAUGGAUGAUCAUGCUUGCUUGCCAUUGUGCUCAUUUGCACAUACUUGUAAGGGUCGCUCCACACAAGCCGGCACUCCGGAGAUAGCCAAUGCGACACAAGCUCGCCCGUGCGGGAUUGGGCACCGAAAUGGGAUGCCGUCGGGGAGGCUCAUUCCUAGAGUGGAAAUUUUGACUACCACGGGGCCAUUAGGCACGGCGGAAGCCGGACUACACUUGUGUAGGUCCUAGUUGAUUGGAACAAUGAUAAAUAAAAGUGAAAAAUGGACAUCAUUACUAGAUAGUGCAUAUUAGUUGGACAUGCUCAUUCAUGUAGAAUAACUCUUAAAAUUGUGGAAUUUCAUGCUAAGUAGAGGCAUAGUAGUUUAUUAAAUUUUAUAAAUUGCUCAAUAUACCUGUUGUUUAAUUCGGUUACUUGUUCAUAUUUACUACUUAAGCCUCCAUGACCUAGUGGUGCAUUUCGCUAAUGUAUGCGGCUUACCUACUGGGAACUAUUGACUAAUAAUUCUCAUUCCCAUUCUGAUGCAAACCGAGAGGUUGCCAAAAUUGAAUUUUCAAGUUUGCUUUUGUUUAAAGGUAAAACUAUAUUCAAUUUAUCAAUUCCGAUGAACUUUAAGCAAGGAAGCAAAAAUUUCAGCAAGACAAAAAUUAAAAUCGAAUUGAAGUAAUACUAAGAUGAUGAUAAGCCUUCAAUAUAUGAGAUAAUAACAACCAACUGAAAAUACAUAUAAUAGUUCCAAAAGGUAAAUUCGGCUUUAUAGGAAUUAAAGCUUUAGGUUUGGUUGUUUGGCAAAUAUGGUUGGUAAUGGUGAAAGGCUAGAUUAAAAGGGGAUAAUAGGAUAUCAAGAGAUGAGAUACAAAAAGUGCACCAUUCACACGAUUGCGGGGGAUCCACGAUCGACGAGGAGGGCGGUACACCACGAGUAGAACUUCGGCAAUAGGGAAGAAGAAGAUGAGGUAGUGACUCGGAAGAAAAGGAGGGGUAGAAGUAGAAGCCGAUCUUGUCACGAGGAAAAAGCGACAACGAUCAAGUCGAGGAAGAAGACGAUCUCGGCGAAAGGAAAAAUGGUCAAUGAUCUCAUCGGGAAGUAGAACACCAAGGAUAAAGAGUGAGAGUAGAAUUUUCUAUUCAUCCAAAAUUAUCUCCCUUAAGGCUUCAAGAACGACGAGGAGGGAUCCACAUUCACACGAUUGCGGGGGAUCUACGAUCGACGAGGAGGGCGGUACACUACGGGUAGAACUUCGGCAAUGGGGAAGAAGAAGAUGAAGCAGUGACUCAGAAGAAGAAGGGUAGAAGUAGAAGCCGAUCUUGUCACGAGGAAGAAGCGAUAACGAUCAAGUCGAGGAAGAAAACGAUCUCGCCGCAAGGAAGAAGCGUCGAUGAUCUCACCGGGAAGUAGAACACCAAGGAUAAAGAGUAAGAGUAGAAUUUUCUAUUCAUCCAAAAUUAUAUCUCCCUUAAGGCUUCAAGAACCAUAUAUUUAUAGUGUUGAGAGCCCUCCUAUAAUAAAUUAUUGUCUUUUCGUUUUCAACAUAACACGGUCACCCAAGAGUUAUGCAUAGAAAACGAAGCAAUUUUGAGAAUUUCAAAGGUUUUUUUUGGGGGGGGGGGAAUUCCAAUGGCCUUUUUGGGAUGGUUUCUUUGUUUAUUGGAGAAAAGGGUUUGGGUUAGCCAAAUCAACUAAACUUAAAUGAUUUAAGUCCGAAUCAAACACGAACUUACAAAAUAAAAGAAAAUUGCAUUCAAAAAUAAAAUGAGGUUUAUUUACUGCAUCACAUUGUGUUGUUGUUUUUGUUUACAGAGCCAUCCACGCCGGGAGAGGCUCGAGAUCGCGGCAAGGGAGUCGCCCCCUAGCUAGAUAGCACGAAGAUUCUUUUGUUAGGUGGUCAUCUCUCCCUUUUGUUUUUGUUGGAGAGAGAGAUGGUUGUACCCGAUGUUUAGAGACCACCUGUUACGAUAUAUUUUAUCUAUAUUAGGAUGUUACGAUAUAUUAGGAUAGUGUUUUAUUGCCUUAUAUAGAGUAGUAUCAUUGCCUUCUAUAGAGUAGGAUUAUAUAACAUGUAAUCCUAGUUAUACUCUUACUAUAGUAGUCAUUGUUACUAUACUAAGACAAUCUCUUGUACUAUAUAUAUUCAUUAAUACAACUCAAGAGGGUAUGCACUUUAGCCCUUCUUUCACCACCACUUUUGUAUUUAGCUUUGAUUAUGUGGAUCUUGUGAUGUAUCUACUUUAUGGUUUAUAUUAGAUGUUUAGCUCUUUUAUUCUCUACUUAUCUUUAGAAAUUAGUUGUAUCUUUACUCUGAUACUACACUAGUUGUUAUACUCUUGUUUAUUUAUCGUAUUGUUGUAGACGCCUUAUAUGUUGACAGCAUAUGGCGGGUCUGGGCACGCGCCGGACAAGCUUCCGCUGGGUCCCGUGGCAUGAUACUAUCGCUUUGUGAUCAUACCUUCAGGUGCCUAUAAUAUGUGCUUACAACCUUAGCCAACAAACCGCUAGUUACUGGAGAUUCUUACUUCGAAUUUUAAUUUUUAGAGUAAGAAUGCUUAUGUUGAAGUUCUAUUUCUCUUCGCUCUUUCAUAAAAUGUGCUUAUUUAAGACAAGAAAUUCUGAAACGAGAUUUGUAAAAAUUUAUGAAACUCGAUCAUCGUUAUUAUAUUUUCAGUAUGAAAAUUACAUCUAAUUAUUUAGAAAAUUUUCAAUUUUGCAUACUUAAUCCGACUAAUGCAGUGUAUAGUUGCUUACCCAGGUACCGAGUCUGAUCAACUUGUUGGGGACUGGUACAAGUGAGCAUUAGAAAUAAAUUGUACUCUUAGCUAAUGUAUAUAAAUGUAGUUAGACUGUUGAACUUACUAGUAAACAUUUAGUUAUUGUAUUUUGAAAUUUUGUUAGUUUUGAGCAGAAAUUUAUCAAUUGUAUAAGUCAGAACUCAUGGAUUUUGGAUUUCUAUGAGCAGUUUAAUUUUGGUACCAUUUGUUUUGCAGCCUUGCAUAUUUGUAAUUAAUUAAUUGCAGAUAUGCAGCACCUGCUAUGCCUUGAGUUCGGGGCGUGACAUACAAGCAAUAUAAUCUCUAAUAAACAAGAUAGGAAUAUGAUAAAAGGUUCAGAAUCCUUUAUAAACUGUAUAUAGAAAUAUAAAUUGGAUAUCCUCGAAGAACUGCACCAAACAAUUGCAUAUAUGUAUACAAAUUAUAAAGUUAUUUUUUGUUGAUGCAGGAAUGAUACUAGGCAGAAGGAUAGUUUACCUCGGGUGCCAUCCAAUAAACACUUCCUUUGCAUGAUCUUAGCAUGUCUAACUUUUUUAUCUGAGUUGGAAACGAAAGCAAUUAGUAUGAUAUUCUUACUAUGAGUGAACUCAUCAACGUUACUAUCAAAUAUCAGAAUAGAUGAAGAAAACAAAUAUACCUCCUUCGCCAAUCCAAAAUCUGCAAGCUUAACAGAUCCAUUUGCAUGAACCAGGAUGUUGGCACAUUUGAUAUCUCUGUAAAGAAGAGGAAGGGAUGACAUUUAUAGUAGGUUAGAGCUAUCAUACGAAUGACGGGUCUAGAUAUUUCUGAAACAAAAUAAUUUUUGCAAAACCAAGUUUUAGAGCUGCUUUAUACGACACUGAACUACUUUUAGAGCUGCACUGGUCGUCCCUACUGUGUACCGUGCUGACAAGAUAUCAGCACAGUACGAACCCUGAGUCGAUGGGACAGCUCAACAUCCUCUUUUAAAAAAAAAUAGUAAGUAAUUAUCUCUAUAAAGUGCAAAGAUUUGAGAAAGAUAUACAAUAAGCAAUUAAAACAAAUUGGUACCAAAGAAAAUAUAUAUUUCAUGGCAUAUUGUAUCAGCACACUAAUAUUUUUGAGGUUGACACAAAUCAGCACGGCAGGGGAUGCAUCGUGUCAUACCGUGCCAACAACUUCUCAGCACGAUCUCAUGCCACCACACUUAAAUCUUAGAUAGUAGCAUGUACUUAAGUUUCACCCCUUGAAACUACAGUGAUAUUCUAAGAAAAGGGUCAUAAACAGAGUCUACAGAAGAUAUUUGCAUCCCUGGCUCCGUCACAAAGUUAAUAUAUCACCAACAAGCUCAGAAGAAAAUUCAAAAUAUAUUGGUCAUUAAGAAGCUGAUAAAAUUAACUUUUGGUUUGAAAAAAGAAAUAAAAAAAAUUUUCACAUCUUGGGGGUAGUACAAGAAUGAUCGUGAGCUUUGUCAGCUUUGUCAAUGAUCUCUGCUGUAGAAUACAAUUGUACUGCUAAACUAAGUAUGAAGACAAACUAUACUGCAGAAUAUGUGAUAUAGAACUGAGUUGCAUAGUUUAGAUUAGGCCAAAUCAAAUAUUUGGAUUUGAUUUAAGUCAUAUUUGGGUUCCAUCCAAGGUUGUAAAUAGCGGAUAGCGGGUACAUAACGUUUGGAGAGUCUCAUAGCGGAAAGCGGAUAGCGGGCGCUAUAGCGGGCGCUAUGAACCCAUAGAGGGUUUCAUAAAAGCAAAUUUAAUAUGUUUAUGUUUCUUAUAAAAUACAUAUAAUUUUGAAGAAAAGACAACUAAUCAUUCUAUUUUUUAGUAUUGCAAGCCUAUAUAUUUAAUGUCAUUAUCUAUUAAAAAUUUAAGAUUAACUUUAAAAUAUUUAGCAAACCAAAAAGAUGACGAUAUCUGAUUCUUUUUUAAAAACGGAUCACCUUUUUAUCUUCCAAACCCUUAGAAACAGGGUUUAUUUCAUUUAAGGAUCCAACCCGAUAAGCCAUUUUAACACGUUUGCAUUUUUUAAAAAUUUGGGCUCAUAGCGCCCGCUUUUCUACCGCUUUAUAGCGGCCACUUUAGUGGGCGCUACGCCGCUAAAGCGGCCGCUAUGAACCCGAACCGCUAUAUAGCGUAGCGGUAACACCUAAAAACCGCUAUAGCGGCCGCUAUGGCGCGCAUAGCGGCCGCUAUUUAAAACACUAGUUCCAUCUAAAACAACUUUGCGUCGGAUUAGAAUUCAAAUUUCUAUUUUGAUCUUUAUCACUAUCUUAAAUUGAUUUAUAAUUUUAAUUAGGCAGAAGUUCAAAAUAGAAAAGCAUUUCUCUUUUUGGCAAUAAGAUUUCUGAAGGAUAGAGUUAUAGUGCAAUUAGAUAUUAUCUUGAAUGGUUCAUUUAAAGACUCCCAAGGGUCUCCAAUGUAUUCAUGGCUUGACUAACUAAAAUUUAUUUGAUUUUCAAGGCCUUAUAGCCUAGUUAUCUUUCCUCCUCGCAUUUGGUGCCCAGGUUGGCAACCACCUUAUAUUCCUUCUUCUUAUGUUGCUCUGUAUUAUUCUGCAGACACAGUAGUAACCAUGUUACAGUGCUACGAUAAAACCAUGAUCCCUUUCCUUCUGGUUCUAUUUCUUGGACUAGACCGCUACUACUACUAUGCAAGAUCAUCAUAAUUCUUAUUAUGAAUUUAGCGCUUGAAAUCAAAUUCUGAAGAACACCAAACUUGUCAUGGGCCAAAUUUAGGUACACUCACCAAUAACAUCAACUGUCUUUGUUACAAUCACCCCAGAUCCUAAAAGUAUCUUGGUAUUUACUUAUUAGAUUAAAUGUUAUCGAAAACCACAAAAUUUAUUUUCUAAAUACUUCAAAUACGCUAGAUCAAGUUCAAUGGAGUCGAUCGUCAAUUCAGAAGUUCCAUUAUCAAAAACGGCUUCAGAGCACGGAAGCCUCUGUGCUCCUAAUAACACAUAAGUCCUACUCCAUAUGUGUGUGUAGAGUUUAAAUCAUCCCCUCUUAAAGUCGUGACGCCCUUGUCAGGCUCAAGUACACUAACAAGCACCAGGCGAUAUGAGACUUAUUCCUGUAGCCUUGUCAUUCAAACCCUGACUUAGCCUGUCAUUCUCAGACCCUUGCUCAGCUUGUCAUUUAGACUCUGGCUUAGCCGAGGCUUAUCUCACAUUUCCGGCUGGUGAUUGACUAUGAUACCAGCUGUGACGCCCUGUUUCACAGGACGGUCACCCAUUUUAAAACUACUUCAGCCUUAAGCUCGCUAACCCUCUUAACUUCAGCCUCCUUCGAAAAUGCUGUGGUCAGAUUAAGAGUUUUAGCCCUAUAAUAUCUUAUAUAAAGGACCAUUCCAAAUCAUAGGAGUGUCACAUUUUCCUCUCUAAGUACUACAACAAUUGUGUCUGAUUAUAGGUACCAUCCAUUCAGGACGACCUUGCCACAACCGUCAUGGCCCAAUUAUGUUUUAGGCCGUACGAAGCCAAUAGCGAAUAACAAACUCUUCCAUGCUCCCUCGGCUUGCACCUGAUGAAUUAUUUCCAACAGAAAGAAUCAGAGACUUCCUUAAGUGAUAUUUGCUCAAGAACUGGAUGAAGGAUUAGCCUCAGUACGUCCAUUGGUACAGGAGUUUCUAUUUUCCUUUUCUUCUUCUAGAGUAAUAGUAGUCAACUCCUUCCAAUGACACCAACUGCAAUUUUUUUCCUGAUGUGAUGUGCACCUCUAAGUUGAAAUCUCAAAGUGGGCCUUUAACUGGCAUUCCCGCCGUAAUUGGUGGGCCAGAAAACUUCACUCGCUUAUUUACUUAUUGAAGGAAGGAAAUUAAGAAAUUGUAGCACACUGAACUUCUGCAAAUUGUGGAGUUCUAGUGACAAGUAGCUUGAGAGCCUAUCCGAAUAGUUUCAACGGGGUUUGGGGACUAUUCGAGUGUUUUCAACGUGCACUUGGCGCGAAAACAAACUUUGAAGAAUCAAAUCCGCUGAAACUGUAGAUUUUGUAUUAUUGAGUACCGGUACUAAAAUGGAGUACAGGAACUCUGUUGUGUGGAGAAGAAACCUACAUUCGGGUUUUGCGGAACUCAACUUGAGUACCAGUAGGUCCAAUACUAGUUCACUAAGUACAGGUAUUGAUUUUGGUGAGUAUCGGUACGCAGUAGAGAAUCUGAAAAGGCGAAAACUCAACAUUCAAGUUUUGCAGAAGUAGGCAGUUGGUACCAAAACUAAAGCCCGUGUACCGAUACUCAAGUUCCAGUAUCGGUACUCAAUGCUGCGAAGUGCUAGUUUUGAUUGGUUGUAAAUAGUGGUGUGAGGGACUUAGUUGCAAAUGUUGCAACUCCUUUAUAUAGGGGAAAUCAUAGCCUUUUAUAUAGGAGUUAUUGAUCUUGAUCUAUGUAGUGGAUAGAAUUUUUCUAUUUAAAAUUCAACCGAGUCUAAUUCUUCUAGACCGUUAACUUGGAAACGCUUCAUACCGGCCAUUAAAAAUGUCAAUUUUGAGGCCCUUUGAUCGUAAAGUAUAUAAUGUCAAAAAAUUAUAAAAUUUGAUGUCUAGAAUAUUUAAUUGCUCUAAAUUAUGUUUAACUCUAUGGAUCGUCGAUUUAGAAGCUCCAUCAUCGAAAACAACUUAUGAGUAUGAAGGCUUGUACUUAUAAUAAUAUAGUAGCCGGACUUAUAUGUAUAUAUGUAUAUACAUAUGUAUACACACACACACACACACACACAUACGAAUAUGUAUACAUAUAUACAUAUGUAUAUAUGUAUAUAUAGAGAGAGAGAGAGAGAGCUAGGCUAGUAUACUAUGAGUAGGACGAAGGCUUCUGUGCUAUCAAGUUGUUUUCAAUGAUGCGGCUUUAAAAUCGACAAUCGGCUCUGUUAGACUUGAUCUACACUAUUAAAAGUAUUUGAAAACUAAAUUUCAUAAUUUUUUGACAUUAUUUAGCUAGUGAUCAAAAGGUCUCAAAAUUGACAAUUUUAAUGAUAGAUGUGAUGCAUUUGUGAAUUUAACGGUGUAAAAUAAUCCAAAUCGGAUGAAAUUUUUAUAGAAAAUUCUUUUCACUAUUUAGAGUAAGAUCGGUACCUCUGAUCUUAAAUUCAAGUCUUUUAUCAUCAUUUUUUAUGAGAUUUUUAUUUUCAACCGUUCAUUUUUAGACUACUCAUUUGCUAGGUAAAUGAUAUCGAAAAAUUGUGAAAUUUAGUUUCCAAAUACUUUCAAUAAUGUAGAUCAAAUCUAACGGAGCCGAUCAUCGAUUUGGGUGCUGCUUCAUUGAAAAUAACUUGGUAGCACGGAGGCCUCCAUGCUACCGAUAAUAUAUUAGCUGGACUAUAUACAUAUAUGCAUAUAGUAUAUAUAUUAUCACGCCUUCAUUUGUUCUUCAACCGAUUUGAUUGUUCAAUCACCAUUAAUCAAUUAGUUGCAACUUUCCGUGCUUAGAAACUGGAUGGUUGACUUAAAAUUAUUAUGGACAUGAUUGAAAUAGCUUAUAUCAUAGAAUAUAUUGAAUUAGUUAACUUCUAGUUGUGAGGUCUCUAUUAUACAAUUUUAGAGAUGCAUCUGAAAUAUACUUACAAACUGGGGGCAAGCAAUAAUUUGAAGAGAGUGGGGAGAGGAAGAGAAUAAAUUGUUGCCUGAACGUGGUGUAUACUAACACUUCAUACACCUUAAAAUAGAUCAUCAAUGUUCUAAAAUCAAAAAACUAAUCAAUACAUGAACUACAAUAUCAAUUAUACAAAUUUUUGAUAUAUAGACAUUUAUUAAAUAUCACAAAACCUAUUCAGUAUGCCAGACUCUAAUUUUAAUAUUUCUAUCACUGAAUUUUAGGUGUGUAAUGUAUAAGAUGUACCUAUACAACUGGUGCAGAAAAUAAUAUUAGUUGGUAUUCUAUGGUGUAUUCAAAAGGCUUACACACAAACACAAUAAACUUUGGACUCUAAAAUCAAAUGGCGGCUUCACCAUUAAGGGCUUGUUUGGUUCAAGGGUGGAAUUGGAAUGGAUAAUGGAAUGGGAAUGAAUUGGAAUGGUAAUUGGAAUGGCCCACUCCCCCUAGACGUUUGGUUUAUUUGUGGAUUGGGAAGUGGAAUGAGUUAUUCACAUUUCAUUGUUUGGUUCGUAUAAACUAAAAAAUUAUAGGAUACUAUAAUACUAAUUUUACUCUCAAAUAUAAAUUUAUAUUAUUUAAAAUUUAUGAAAAAUAUAAUACUAUUCUCUAAUAAGUUUUCCAAAAAAAAAUAUCAAAUUUAUUUUUAAAAACUUUUAUUGAUGUGGGUUAGGGAUAAGGUUUUGAGAGAGGAUAGGUUUUUUUUUUUUUUUUUUUGAUGAGAAAGGGGUGAAGAGGAGGGUGAAAUGGGCACAUGGGCUUCGAGAACUUAGUAGGCUUCCGGAAUGAAAUCUCAAUCCGGGCUAGAAGACCGGAAUCAAGUUGAAGGCUAAUGGGCCAUUACCAUUCCAGUCCGGAAUAGGAAUCCCAAACCGAUUCAUGCGAACCAAACAAAUUAACCAGAUUUGAUCAAACCGAUUCCCAUUCCAUACCCAAAAUGGAUGAACCAAACAAGCCCUAAUUAUUAAGACCAUUUGAUUCCUUGGUAAAAGAUUUGUAGACCUUCUGACUUCUUUAUACAUAAACCCUAUAGAUGGCAUAGAUCGCAUCUAUCAAAGUAAAAAUUAAUUAUAAGACAUUGAUCAUCAAAUCUAAUAUGUGGUGCAAGAAUUGUACAUAUACGCACCACGUGCAGGCACUUCAUCAAAAGCAUAAGGCGUCAUCCAGAAGGUCACUUCAACCCAACUUUCUAGCAUAUAGUAUAUAUUCCAAUAUAAUGGCAAUUGGCGACAUGUCAAUCGGUCAAUCAGUAAUGUGAAAGUAAGCAGUCAAGUCACCUGUGAACCACAUUCCUGUCAUGUAAAUAUACCAAUCCGUUCAGAAUCUGCCUGGUGUAAGCGGAUACUUGAGAAUCCUGUAAAUGAUACUUUUGAUACAAGGAUGCAAGAGAACCUUGGGUCACAAGUUCCAGGAAAAUGUAAAGUUUUGCUUCCUCCUAUCACUCAAAACAACAAUAAUAAAUUUAGUUCCACAAAAAACAAGUCUUCAAUGUGCAAUACAAUGGUAAAGAUUGAUUAACUCAAACAUUUUACAAACAAUAAGAAAAAUUCCAUAAUCUAGAUGGCAAUGACCUUAUCUCAAAAGUGGAACAAGAAUGAAAUUGAAAGAGUUUUGAGUGAGUGAAGGCUAAACUUUGUUUUGAUCAAGAUUGGCUUGUUGAUAGUUAGAAAUUACAAUAAAAAGCUCGCUACUUCGAUAUCAUAACAAAAGGACCAUAAAUGUAGUUUGUAUGUUGACAUAUUUUAGAAAAAGAAAAUCAAUUGAAUGGAAGCUAAACUGUUAUUUUCGGAGCGAGAUUUAACCUUGCUAAGUUGGAAAUACCAAAAGGAAUGGUUACUGUACCUUGUCGGUUCCGUAGUAUUGGACUAUGUUUUCAUGUUCAAACUGGCUUAAGAGUGUGAUCUCCUGAAAAGAAAGUUGCUUUAGUUAGAAAAGUGCAGAUGUUACAAUACCCAGGUUGAAAAGCUCUUCUUAAUUGAUUACUGUGAUAUGAGAUCAUCAACCGAAAUGUCAACUAUACAUAAACUGGAAAGCAAUUAUCUACAAGCAGGAAGAGAAGUGAAAACUCUGGUACAAUAUAAAUAAUGGAUUGCAAAACAGGAAAGUAUGAAAAGAAUUGCUACGUUUACCUGCUCAAGUUGAAGAAUACACUGCUGAGCAUUGCUUCCUUGGUCAAGCAAAGAUACUUCUUUAACAGCGAAAAAUACACCCUCACUGCAAGUGCAACAAGAUAAGUUAAGAGAACUACAAGAACACGUACAUUUCGUAUCAAUAGAAGUCUACCAUCCAUGAUAAAUUGGCAGAGUAGUCUGUCUCCAAAAUUUUGUCAUGAACACAGACAUACAUUAACCACUACCACGAGCAGCUCAGUAAUAUGCAAAUUCAAACCGUAAGGGCAGUCAACAUUAGAUGUUUUUGUAUUUUCAUAAAAAAGACAAAUGCCCUUUAUUAUUUGGAAUAAUUUUAUAUGCUGCACCAACAAAAGGGAAGGAAGCACAGUUUGUUUAGAAACUUUAAAGGAACAGCCCAUAUGGCAAUGAUAGGGAACCAAGUCCAGUAGUGAUGGGAAAACAGGUUCUUUUCGGACUUAUACUCAUCAUCGGAACCGUAUUUAGAAUAUUUGGUUGGACGAUGGACUGAUACUAGAAGUCUAACUUGAAUCUAAGUCUGAUUCACAGAUUCGAUGGGUUAAUUUGGAAGUUUCAUUAGAUUAGGACUUUUAGUUUAUUUGGAAGUUUUAAAUUAGAAUUCUAUUCCUUUUUAGAACUUUGUUUUGAAUUCUGCUAUGAAAUUUGUUUAAUUUUCUUUUUAGGACUCCUAGUCGUUUUAACCUAUAUUCUCUACAUAUAAAGGUCAAGUCUAUAUUGUAAGGUAUGCUUUUGAGUAAUGAGAUCUGAGUUAUUUGAAUUCUUCGUCAAUUUUCCUUGCCUUCGCAAAAGCGUAGACCGGAGCGAGUCCCGUGGAUUAUUUCUUUUUCUUCUCUUUUCUCUUCUAUUUUAUUUUAGCCGUUGGAUCCGUUACAAUUAAAAGGAGCUGUUGAGAUCAACCAAUCCCCACGGGACCCACCCAAGGGAUCUCUUCACAAGCCAUACGUGAGACCUCCCUCCCUCUGUCCAUAUGCUUUCUCUCUCCCUUCGUCUGUAUAGCUAGGAGCAGGGCCUACUUGAUCAAAAGGAAAAUUAAAAGAAAAACAACAACAACAACAACAACAACAAUCCGGAGGAUAUCUCCUUUCCGACGAUCGGCCAUUGCCAUGACAACCAUAUGAUCGAGAUUGCCAUGCAAGCCUACUCCGUGGAAACGAGUCUUUGUCGAGUCCUUCGAUUUCUCUAUUCUUUCUGCGAAUAAUUCUAAACCCUAAUUUCCUAUUAUCCUAUUCCUAAUUCCAUCCAUUCCUAAACCCUAACCUUAACUCAUUUUUCCACUAUUCUAGAAGAUCUAACUAAGUGGCUAAAAUCCGAUGAUCGAAAGAAAUUAAACCGACUCACCCGCAUGCGUAAGAUGCGUACGACCUUGCAGCAACUCGAAGGUGAUCUUUUCCUAACCAAUCUCUUAUUUGAGUUUUCGAAUUUCCGAAUUUGUUUUUAUUUCUUUUUAGUUUGAUUUCUAAGAAUUGCUCGAUCCACAUUUUAUGCAAUUCUCGAAAAGACCUAAACUCCCUAAACCGUCCUGCAUCAGAUUUGGUAUCAGAGACUAGGUUUUAUCAUGACGACCCAAUCAAAAACCUAGUUUAGGGAUGAAUCUGUAGACGACUCAAAUACCCUAAUACUAAACCAAAUUUUAGAGAAAAUAAGUGUUACGACAUAUUUAGUAUCUUAUGCUAUGUUAGGAUACUGUAUAUUACGACAUAUUUAGAGUAGGAUUAUAUGGUGACAUAGGAUUAUAUGGUAUGUAAUCCUUGUUGUAUUGUUAUCAUAGUAGGCAUUGUUACUAUAGCAGGCUUAUCUCUUGUACUAUCUAAUUUCAUCAAUAGGACCUAAAAGGGUACGCUCUUUUGCCUUUUUUUCAUGGUAUCAGAGCGGGAACCCUAAUUGGGGAUAUCGAUCCAUAGCCACCAUCCACCACAAGUCUCACCUUCUUCCAUAGGUGCUUCUUCUUUUGGUGUUCUAUCUCCCUUUAUCCUUGGACUUUUAUCUCCCCGAUACUGCUAAAGUACCAGCGCCAUAGUAUUGCUACAAUCAGUGCUACAGUAUUUCUACAAUCAACGCUACAGUAUCGGUGCUACUGUACCCUACAGUACCGGCAGUACAGUAGUGCUACAGUCUGCUACAGUGGUUCUGCUACAGUAAUUUCAACCUCUUGGAGUUUUUUCUUAUUUCGUUGGGCUGUUUGCUGGUGUCGCCUGAUUAAUCUCAAGUACCGCCGGUUCAUCUCGGGUUCAACUCUAACUCACUUUUCCUAUUUCCUCUGGAUCUGUGAUUACUUGGUCUAUUUUUCGAAUUUGUCUCUCUCGUAAUGGAUUUUUUUUCUCUUGGUGGUAACAUGUCUUCCUCUCCAAACCUGUCAAUGGUUAACAUCAAAACUCUCAUACCACUUGAACUCACGGAUUCCACAUAUCUAGUGUGGAAACAAAUCUUUCUUAAUGUUUUGGAAAGUUUUGGUGUUACGCAUGUGGACAAAACUGGUACUAUACCGCCUCAAACUAUUGAAACUUCUGAUAAGAAGACAAGUUCAAACCUGGAAUAUCAAAAUUGGAAAAAAGAAGAUACCACUAUACUCUUGUAGAUUAGUGCCACCUUUUCUCUUAGUAUAUUACAGAUGGUCGUUUUUAGCUCUUUUGAAAACCAUUGAAGCAUAUUUUCUUGAGAAAACUGCUUCCACGGCUUUCUCUCUAAAGUCCGAAUUGCGAAGCAUCAAAAAAGGUUCAAUGAACAUGAGCAAUUACAUGCAAAAAAUUAAAUCAAUUGGUGAUGUUCUACAAGCGAUUGGUGCAACUGAGUCAAACCAUAACUUGGUCAUGACCGUUCUUCUCGGGUUACCAGAAGAAUAUAGCGGUUUUGUCAGUGCCCUUAAUACACAUCGAAAUAAGCCCACUUUUGAACAACUUCGUCUACUUCUAAUGCAAGAGGAAACUGAAGUUCAAUGUCGAAGUAGUUUGACGACAUCAACAGCCACUCUCACUAUCGACGAUAAAGCUCUUUAUGCGAAUCGUGGACGAGAAAAUCGUGAAGGUCGCGGAGGUAGAUAUCGCGGCGGUCGAGGACAGCGCGGUAGAUUCAACUCAUACCCUAGUCGUGGAUCUCCUAGAGCCUAUUCACAUUCUCAACCUAAUAAUUCUCAACAAUCCUAUACUCCGACUCAUCAACCUUACAUUCCGAAGUUUGGCACACAAUGUCAGAUCUGCGGCAAGUUUAAUCAUGCUACUCUUCAGUGCAGACAACGCUUCAAUCAUUCUUUUGUUGUAGAUGAUCUUCCUCAAACCUUUGUUGCUAUGAACCUUCAUGAAUCGGGUGAGGAGGUGUGGUAUCCAGACAUUGGAGCAUCUAAUGACAUGACCGCAACUUCUGGUGUUCUCUCUUAUAGAGGGCAUGAAAAAAUUCUUGUUGGUAAUGAAAAUUUACUUGAUAUUACUCAGACAGAUGAAACUCAGUUGCAUUCCAUCUCUAAAUCCUUUGCUCUUAAAAAUGUUCUUUUUGUUCCUUCUAUUAAGAAAAAUUUGCUUUUUGUACGCCAGUUCUGUUAUGAUAAUAAUUCUCUUUUUGGGUUUGACACUUCUGGUUUUUCUAUGAAGGACAAAGAAACCGAGACGGAGCUUCUUCGAUGCCUUAGUUCGGGAACAUCACUCUAUCCACUCUCUUCUAAAGUUGCAAGUGUCGAAAAUAAGCAACAGCUAGCACUGGUUGCAUCUAAGGUUAAUAGUGAUAUUUGGCAUAGACGGUUAAGUCAUCCUAGUUUUUUUUGUUCUUUCUUCAUUUUUUAAAAAUAAUAAAAUUGUCUCGAAUUCUACUUUAAAAUUAUCUGUUUGCAAUGCCUGUAAUAUGGGAAAACAUGUUAAACUUUCGUUUAAUGAUUCUUAAUCUCAAUCUACUUUUCCCUUUCAUAUUGUUCAUUCGGAUGUAUGGCAAUCACCUGUUCCCUCACUUUCUGGCUAUAAGUAUUAUGUUAUUUUUAUUGAUGAUUACUCUAGAUUCUCUUGGCUUUAUCUUUAAAAAUCUAAACACGAAGUAUUUGACAAAUUUUUGGAGUUCAAAAGAAUGGUUGAAAACAUAUUUCAUAGCUCAAUUAAAAUUUUUCAGUCCGACAAUAGCACUGAAUUUAUAAAUGAAAAGUUUUCUACUCUUUGUUCACAAAAUGGCAUUAUUCACAAAUUUUCUUGUCCUUAUACUCCUCAACAAAAUGGUCUAACUGAGAGGAAGCAUAGGCAUUUAUCUAACGUUGUUAGAAGUAUACUAUUUCAAGCUUGCUUACCUCCUCGGUUCUGGGCUGAAGCCAUUCAAACUGCCGUUGUUCUUGUGAAUAGAAUUCAUUCUCUCACUGUUUUGAAAGGACAAUCGUCAUACGACAUUCUGCAUGGUUGUGCUUCUCCUGACUUGUAACUUGUUAGAGUUGUUAGAUGUUUGUGUUAUCCCGAUGUACAGGACAUUGCAGCUCACAAACUCUCUUCCAGGUUACUUCCUUGUGUCUUAUUGGGACUUUCUAACAAACAUAAGGGAUUUCGCUGUCUAUAUCCAAGCGCCGAUAAAGUCUUUAUUUCUCGCCAUGUUACGUUUGUUGAACAUGUUUUUCCUUACUCUUGAACAUGUUUGUUGAACACGUUUGUUGAACAUGUUUUUCCUUAUUCUUGUCUUUCUAAAUUUUCUUCUCCCUCCUCGUUCUCUCUUUCCAACUUGCAAAUGUUUCAAAAUUUUCUAUCUAAUUCGCCUUUACUGGGUGAAAGUCCUUCUACUCUUGAUGUGAUUUCUAGCUUCUCCUUCACACGACCUCUUCCUGACAAUGGUUCACGCCCAUCAGUUUUACCGUCUUACUUAUCAAGUUUUCCUCCUAGCUUGAACUCUAAUGCUCCACAGGUUGGUCAUGAGAAUGUUGUCACUGUUGUUGGUCCAUCUAAACUCCGAGUCUAUACCAGACGCCACGCCAGCCGGCCUACUGCUCCUUCUCCAUCCGCUACAGAUGCGCCACCUUCAUCCGCUACUGAUGUGCCACCUUCCACCUCUGAUCAUUCACCUCCUCAGCCUACUAUUGUCUCCUCUUAUUCAUCCUCUGUGGCUCCACUGCCUACCCGAACCUAUUCUAUGCUCACUCGCUCCAUGACUAAGGAUUCACAGGGUCUACUUCCUUACUCGCUUCUACUCAUUCUACUCUUCCUACCAAACCUACCUCUUUUCAUGAGGUUUUUCAGGAUGCAGGUUGGCGUGCUGCCAUGGCUGAAAAAUUUGCUGCCUUACUGACUAAUGCUACUUGGGAUCUUGUUCCUCCAGCUUCCUUUAAUCUCAUUGGUUGUAAGUAGGUAUACAAAGUGAAGCAGAAGGCAGAUGGUUCUCUUGAGCGUUUCAAGGCUCGGCUUGUUGCUAAGGGUUACAAACAACAACGAGGUAUUGAUUUUGAUGAGACUUUUUCUCCCGUCGUCAAGGCGACCACUAUUCGUACUGUUCUCUCAAUGGCUCUCUCCUCUGGAUGGUCUCUUCGACAACUUGAUGUGAAAAAUGCGUUUCUUCAUGGCACUCUCUCUGAAGAAGUUUAUAUAACACAGCCACCGAGCUUUGUGGAUCCUUCUCUUCCUCAUCACGUAUGUCGUCUCCGCAAGGCAAUCUAUGGCCUUAAGCAAGCACCUCAGGCUUGGUUUCAGCAGUUCACUUCAUUUCUUUUUGCAAUUGAUUUUGUCAGCAGUACGGCGGAUCCCUUGAUGUUUGUUUCUCAUUCCUCUUCUAACACUCUCGUUCUUCUUUUAUACGUUGAUGAUAUUAUUAUCACCAGCAGCUCCUCUCUUUUGAAGGCUCUUAUUGUCACCUUGCAACGUGAAUUUGCUAUGAUCUCCGGCCGCUCCAUUAUUUCUUAGGCAUUGAGGUUACUCCGUCUUCUUCUGGUCUUCAUCUUACUCAGCGCAAAUAUACGCAUCAACUACUUCAGCACCAUGGCUUUCUUGAUAGUAAACUUGUUUCUAGUCCUCUCUCCGACCUCUCGUCUCAUGAGGGACGUCCUCUUGACGAUCCCUAUAUCUAUCAUCAACUUGUUGCUGCUCUCCAGUAUCUCACCUUCACGAGACCGAAUAUUUCGUAUGUUGUCAACACUGUUGCUCAGUAUUUGCAAAUGCCUCGUGAACCGCAUAUCAAGCCGUCAAGCGUAUUCUACGUUAUAUCCGAGGGACACUAUCUUAUGGCCUUCCACUCUCUCGAUGUGUCAAUCCUUCUCUUGUGGCUUUUGCAGAUGCCGAUUGGGCUGGUUGCCCUGAUACAUGUUGCUCUACUUAUAGGUAUUGCGUCUUUCUCGGGCCCAAUCUUAUCUCUUGGUCCGCUAAGAAACAGCCCACCAUUUCUCGCUCCAAUUUUGAAGCGGAGUAUCGCGCUAUGGCAUACACGCUUGCUGAGGCGGUUUGGAUUUGACGUUUACUCCGUGACCUUGGUGUUUUCUUAUGGCGCUCCAUCAGCAUCUAGUGUGAUAAUCUCAGCAUGACUUAUCUUGCGGCUAAUCUGGUUCUCUAUGCUCGGGACGAAGCAUAUUGAGCUUGACCAUUAGUUCCUACGUGAGAAAGUCCACUCUGGUGAUUUGGACUUAGUGCACAUCUCUUCUGAUAAGCAACUUGCUGAUAUUUUCACCAAGUCUUUGUCGUCUUCUCGUUUUUCGGUGUUGCGGCUCAAUCUUCAAUCCGCCCACUAGAUGCUUAGCUUGCGGGGGAUGUUACGACAUAUUUAGUAUCUUAUGCUAUAUUAGAAUACUGUAUAUUAUGACAUAUUUAGAAUAGGAUUAUAUGGUAUAUAAUCCUAGUUGUAUUGUUACUAUAGUAGAUAUUGUUACUAUAACAGGCUUAUCUCUUGUACUAUAUAACUUCAUCAAUAAAACCCAAGAGAGUAUGCUUUUUUGCCCUUCUUUCAAUAAGCAAACUUGAAACACUUCAUACUAACUUUCAAAAUCUGGCUACUGAGGUGCAAGACCUUAAAACUUGAACAACUAUUUUAGAAAAUCCACAAGCUAGAGAUCGAGUGCAAAAUAGGGAUAAUAGUGUCCAGGGAACACCACAAAUCGAUAAAGGGUCUAGAGCGCAUACACCACUAAAUAGAGAAACCUAUGUUAGUGAGCCAAACCAAUUUGUAAGACUUGUUCCACAUGCACAUAGAAGACCGCAACUACAUGUCUAUGGUCAAAUAGGCCAAGACCGACAUGAUGUAGACAACAUUGUAGACAUAACCCGAAAGAUUAAGGUCGUCCCUUCUUUUGAUGGAAAACUUAUCCAAAAGCCUUCACUGAUUGGUUAAUUGAUAUAGAGCAAUACUUUGAUUAGUACAAUAUGCCUGAUAACCAUCAUGUUAGAUUUGCUAAAAUGAAGUUGAACGGCGCCACUAGGCAACACUGGAUUGGUGUAGAGAGACAACUUGAGCGGCUAAGGCAAGAGCCUAUACUUUAUGGGCAGAAAUGAAAGCUAAACUUAUGGAGAAACACCUAACACCAACCUAUAAGCAACGCCUUUACGAGCAAUUGUAUCCGUUGCGCCAAGGGUCACUUUCUGUGGCUGAAUACAUGGCUCGUUUCGAUGAAUCAAAAGUUCAGUGUGAUGUUCAAGAGGUUGAGAUGAUGACUCUUACAAAAUUUUGUCAAGGGUUACAUGGGGACUUACAACGAGAAAUCACACCCCAUAUGGCCUCUAGUGUCGAAGAAGCCUUUCAACUUGCACUAGAAUAUGAGCGGUACCUUAAGGCACCACCUAAUAGGUUUUCCUCCCAAGAUGGGAAGGCAAAUUCUAGAUAAUGGUCCGAUAGGAAUCUUAAGGCCAAUAACAUUAACCCGAACAUGUCCAAGUUUACAAAUGCACCAAACCACCGCGAUGAUAAAGGUAAGUCAGUAGCUAGUGCACGUUCAAAGUCUAAUCAAACAUCCGGUAGGUGCUUCAACUAUCAUAAGAUAAGUCACUACUCCUAUGAGUGUCCUAAGAGAAACAUGGUUAUUCAACCCAAUGAAGAAGCCCUAGAGGAGGUUGAACAUAUUGUAGAUAAGAUUGCUAGUGACGAAGAAGAUUUAGAGUAGACAUAUGGCGAGAACAAAAAUGCCUUUUCAAAGGUUAUGUGAUGUCCUAGCAACACCCAAGUCUAAUAACGAUUGGAGACGCACCACAAUUUUUCAUACUUACACACAAAUGCAAGGAUAAAAAUUGCAAAGUUAUUAUUGAUGAAGUUGCAUGAACGUUGUCCCCAAAUCAGCCAUCGAAAGAAUGAACUUGAAACCUGAACCUCAUCCUAAUCCUAAUAAAGUAUCAUGGGUAGACAAAACUUCGAUGCCAGUUACCUAAAGAUUCUUACUUCCACUUCACUUUGCCCCAUACGAGGACCAAAUUUGGUGUGACGUUCUCCCUAUGGAUGUUGCACAUGUUUUCUUAGACAAACCUUGGAUAUAAGAUAUGAAUGUCACUUAUUAUGAUCGGCCAAACACGUAUUACUUUGUUCACAAAGGGAAGAAGGUCGUCCUAAAUCCCAGCAACCCAGCCUCUCUUAGAAACUCAAAGAACUCAUCAUGAAUGACUAAAGGAAUCCUAGAAUCAAGUUCACCUAGUGCACCCAAAGUCGAAACUGCCAAACCUCUCCAUGUUUUGAAUAAGAAAAAGUUAUGUAGAGAAGCAGCGACAAGAGUUGUGUAUGCGCAUGCUACUAGAGAAAUUUCCGAGACCCGACACACUUGAGACACCCUUAAUUCUUAGAGACUUUAUAAUUGAGUUUAGUGAUUUAACACUUGGGAAGUUACCCGAUGAGCUUUCCCCCUUAAGAGACAUUCAACAUGCCAGAGACUUAGUCACCUAGCAUCAUUGCCAAAUCUACCCCACUAUAGGAUGAACCCAAAAGAACAUGUCGAGUUGAAACGACAAGUCGACGAACUAAUUAGGAAGGGAUUUAUUCAAGAGAGUAUGAGUCCAUGCGCGGUUCCCGCACUCUUGACACCCAAAAAGGAGGGGACAUGGCGUAUGUGCGUGGACAGUUGUAGCACACCGAACUUCUGCAAAUUGCGGAGUUCUAGUGAGAGAAUAGUGCUUUUUACUAUUCUGGAAGAUUGGACUCAGUUUGGAGAGCUUAUGAGUGCUUUCGAGGCAUAUGAAGCCCGAAAACGAACUCCGGAGACGAAAUUCUGCAAAAGUGCAGUAUUUGCAUUGAGUACCGGUACUGGACAUCGAGUACCGAAACUCAGUUGCGAAAUGGUUGGGUAGCUCUCGGGUUUUGAGGAACCAGGUUGCGGGUACCAAUACUGAGUCUGAGCUGGGUACCGGUACUGCAUUGGACAAGUACGGGAACGCAGUAGAAAUAAGGAUUUUCCAGCGUUCGGGUUUUGCGGGACUGGCCUUCGGGCACUGGUACUGACCGUCGAGUACCAGUACUCAAUGUCGUGUACCGGUACUCAGUGUUACUGAUGCUGCUUCGUGCUAAGUGCAAAUUUUGAGUUUUGGAGGGGCUUAUGGGGUAUUGUUACAUCUAGUAUAAUGCACCCCGCACCCCCUUAUUCUCCUUUGUCGGCAGAGGAUAGAGAGAGUAGAGGUGAGCUUCUUCCCUUUUCUCUCUUGAUUUUCUCCUCCAAUACCCUAUAAUUCAUGGUUUUGAUCUCUUCUUUUUCCUCUCCUCUUUGCAUAUUUGCAUUUAAUCCUUGGAGGGGAGCUCGGGACUUAAGAGAAUAGGUUGUAAGAGGAUCAAACUUCAACCCUAGCACUUCAUGGCUUGAGUUGAAGCUAGUUUGGAGGUUAGUAAUUUUCUUAUGCUCUCUAUUUGAGAGAAUUGCAAGAGAUUUGGUGGAAAACCUAAUUUUGUAAAAAAGUAGGGUUUGUUUUGGGGAUUUUUAUUUAGAAGCUUUUUAGAUGGAAUUAAUGAGUGUAGAACACUCUUGUAGGUUGGUCUUGAAGCUCCAAUGGGUUGAUUUGGGCUUCCCACAAGUUCUUCUUGAGUUAAGGUAAUUUCUACCUAUUUUUCCCUUUGAUUUUUAGUGAUUUUCGUAGUAAGCUUUUUAGAAGCUCGUAAACUCUUGGGAAUUUUUCUUGGGGCAUGGGAAGUUUAGGGGACAACUUCGUCGGAGAAACGAUUGAAGUUUCGGAGGUUAUCCGGUGGGUUUGACCUCACCGAAAUGGGUGAACUCCCCCUAUGUCUCCUCUCUUGUUAUAGGACCAAAAUAAAUGCAUUUUCAUGUUAGAUGUGACAUGAUAGAAUUUUUGAAUACAUGAUAUAUCCAUGUUAUGUGUAGAAGUUGACAUACUUUAUGCGGUAGAGCAUAUUGCAUCAUAUGUGUAUUAAAUUCUUCCUAUGUAAACAUAGGAAUGCACGUUACAGAUGAAUUCUAAUGUCAUGUGAGAUUCUAGAUGACAGAGUUUUCUAUGCAUUCGAGCAAAUAAAUGGCGAAAGUACAUGCUUGCGUAGUCAAAUGAGAGCUAGUUAAUUGCAUGGCAAUUUUAUACUCCAUGUAGAGGAGGCAUAUACAUGAUAUGCACUAUGACUUUGUGGACACCCUUGUGGAUCAUUGAAACUGACAUUAGUAAGUUAUCUUUUCAUAUUAUGAUGAUAUAAUAGUAUUUGCCCUCUAUGCAAUAAUAGAAAGCAUGUUAGGGAUGAACAAAGGAUAUGCUUCUUGGACUUUAUGUGCUUAGGGAAAUCAACCUAUAUGUUCAUAACAUAUUUGUUGUAGACAAGGUAUAUAUGACAUAUUGUAUGGUAGUAGCAAAGUAUAAACUUACCCUUGUGUACUUGACCUAGUUGAACAACUAUAGUUUCACAUUGUGACAUAGUACUCGACCUCUAGGUCGGUAGUUGACAUUUCAUGUUUUAAACACGAUGACCGAGAACUCUUUGUUGUUGAUCACGCUUGCUUGCCAUUGUGCUCAUUCGCACAAGCUUGUAAGGGUCACUCCCUACAAGCCGACACUCCGGAGUUGGCUUAUGCGACAUCAUCUCGCCCGUGCGGGAUUGAGCGCCGAAGUGGAUUGCCUAGCCGAGGCUCAUUUCUAGAGGAGGAAUGUUGACUACCACGGGGCCAUUAGACACGACACAAGCUUGGACUACACCUUGUGUAGGUCCUUGUUAAUUUGGAUAAUGAUAAUUAAUCAUAAUAAUUAGACAUCGCUACUAAAUAGUGUAUGAUCAUUGGACAUUUAUGAUAGUCAUUGUUUGCAUUGACAAUCCUAGGGGUAGCAAAUCCAUACACAUAUUGAUUAGUAUAGAAAUGUAGCCUUAUGAGUCAUGAGAACAAUAGCUAUUUGGUAGAAAUGAAAGACUUGUUCUAAAACAAUUGUUUCUAGUUUAAAGGUGAGCUAGCAUUUAAAUUUUGCAAUGCAAAUACCUAUACAUGUUAGUAGGCAAUCAUAUACAUGUUAGUUGACAUAUCAGGUAGAGGCAUGACUAUUAUUGAAUUUGUUCAAUUAUUGCUAACUCAUGCUUAAUAGUUAAUACUUCUUGUAUUAUAUUCAUGCCUCUGUUGACCUAAUGGUGUAUUUCGCCACUCUCGGCGGCUUGCCCACUAGGAACUAUUGUUUAAUAGUUCUCACCCCCAUUGGCUGAUUGUUUUUGUUGCAGAGCCUUCUGCAGCAAGAAAAGCUAGGGUUUGUGGCAAGGGGUUAGCGACUAGCUAGAGCCUCCUUGAUGUUGUUAUGGAUAUACCCAUAGACAUCUUUCUUUGGUUUAGAUCGAGGGAUGUAUAAUUGUAUUUUAUUUGAGAUUUCCUUGUAUUCAGGGCUUUUUUUGCAAAUAGCCCCCUGAGCAAUUUUUAUUUUAAAAAUAACCCUAUCAAAAUUAAAAUUGCAAAAAUGGCCCUGUCCCUGCCACGCAGGCGCCACGUCAGCGCCACGCGGGCAGGGCUGGGGCCAGGGUAUUAAGUUGAACACGGUGAAUCAUUCACCGUGUCUAAACACGGUGAAUGGUUCACCGUGUUUCUUACGUAUUUUUUGUAUAUUGAAAAGUGGAAUAAGGAGUAGGGAUGUCAAUAGGUAUGGAUACCCGAAAUAUUAUCCGAAUCCAAACCCGAAUAAAUUAUAUAUAUAUACGUAAUUUAUUUUUGUUUAU
rnacentral:lncRNA from 1 species